rnacentral:lncRNA from 1 species
GAAAUUCUCGUGGUGCACAUCGAUGUUGUAUCGUGUCGGCAGGAAGGCCACAGGCCAAAAGCUUUCUGGCCAUGCUGCAUAAUGCAGAGAUACAGAACAGCACAAUCAGACACUCUUCCAGGAGCCAGAACUUCUCUCUCGCUCAGCAGCCAACAAUCUCAGAAAACAAAUGAGCCAGUUCACACAAGUUACAUGUAAAUUUCCUCUUGCUUUCUUCCAUUACGCAUCAUCUAAUCAAUCCAUACUAUAUCGACAGCAGCUGCUGCAGCAGCCAGUGGAUGACACACAAGUAAGAACAGAGAAAGAUGGCAAAAAUUAUCAGUCUAUUUCCCGUGGAUUACAUGAUGAUAUGAUGAUGAUGAACUUAUUCACAUUAUCACAUAAGGCAGAGUAUCAGAUAUUCAGAACUUGAGUGGUAGUAAAACAGAGACCAAAAAUCCAAUUCUAUCGAGAUAGUAGAAGCACUUCGCAGUAGGCAGCCGCGCCGCCGCGUUAGUCCGGGAGCAGGAAGGGGAGGAGGUGACGCAUCCGAAGCAGGCGGGAGGCCGAUCAGAGGCGGAGCAGCGUGUCGCAGCGCCAGUCCAUCUCGUCGGCGGCGGCCGCGGGGUCCGGCAGGUUCAGAUCGAAGGGCAGCGAGGACGAGGAGGGGCGCGGCGGCGCUGCAACCUCGUCUGCGGCAGCGGCGCCCCCCGACGCGCCGUCCUCGCACACCGCGGACGAGGAGGAGCCGCAGUAGCUGCGGCAGUCCUCCUCGACGGCCGGGGCGCCGAUCGCGGCUGCGGCGGCGGCGCGGAAGAGGACGCUGGUGGCCGGGACGCCGCCGCUCCAGGACUCGAUCGUGCUGCUGUGGCUAGAUGUGGCCGCCGCGGCCAUCGUCGCCGGCGCGGCGACGGGGGCGGGGGGCGCCGCGCGCGGCGGCGCCGCGGCGGGGGAGGCGGGGAAGUUGGUGCGCGCGGCGGCGCCGCGGAGGUUCCUGGCGGCGGCGUCGUAGGCGCGCGCGGCGGCCUCGGCGGAGUCGAAGGUGCCGAGCCAGAUCGGGGUCUUCUUCGCCGGGUCGCGGAUCUCGGCCGCGUACCGGCCCGACGGGCGCCGCCGCACCCCGCGGUACCUCACCUCCUCGCCCUCCAGCCCCGGCCCCGGCGGCGGCCUCGCGCGCCGCAUCGCGUCGCCUCGCCUCCCUCGGCGCCCCUCUCGCUCGCCUCGUCUGGUGUGGUCUCUCUCGUCUCGCGCUCGCUCGGCCUUCCCUCGGCGACUCCACCGUGCGCGCCUUGUUUGUGUGUUUGGUCGGCAGCGGGCUGGCCGGCUGACGCGGCGGGCCCGCCCACGACCGGGCGUCGCGUCGGUUUGUUUAUGAUUAUUAUUCCAUUCCAAUCGACCGCGUCCACGUCCCCGUCCUCGGGUCGGGUGAGGUUGAGGUUGGGGUCGGGUCGUCACCUCCCCCUCCCCGCACCGCGUUCCCGUCCGGCGUCAGCGCGACGCGUACCCCCUCUCCCGGCCGCUGGUAGACUAACCGUCUGUCUGGUGCACAGAUUUUUUUCCCUUUCUGUGAUGGACGGAUGGGUGCGGAAUCGCGGUGGUGGGCACGGUCGGCAGUAGCGCCGUCGGCCACUAGCGGGGCAUAUUCGCCGACGCUGCAGCCUGGCCUGCCGGUGCGUGCCGUGCGGUCGAUCUUUGGUUGCGCCGUUUAUUUUAUUUAUUAUAUCACUAUAUUAUAUAUUACGGGAAUAUUAUAUAUUACGGGACGCGAUUUUAAGCGCACGAUUCGUGGAUGAGAUUGUUGGGAGCCGACACAGCGACACAUGGUAGCAGGCGGGUAGCGUCUGCUCUGCUGCCACACAUGGAAUUCUUCAGAAAAUGUUUCUUCCUUCUAAACUUCAUUUCUGCAAUUUUGAAACUGGCCAAUCCAUGCAUGUUUCUGCCAAAAUUGCCGGAAAAAACACAAGUCCUACUAUAGUGCCUAUUCAUCUUGAAUUUUCCCACCAGGUAUCUAUUCCGAACAGUGGUCAAAGAUGCAUAGGCUACGGCAGUACAGCACUGAAGACAAAAGGAAAGAGCCGACGCAUCUCUGAACAUUGUGUUACACGUUUAUCACUUUUCCCACACAAGGGCAGGCAUAACCUUGCACAUGCCAUGGGUCUCUCACGCUUGCCUACUUCCAUCAUGAGUCAUGGCAGACGAACAACACUUGCGGAAUAAGUUGCGACUGACGAGAGGUCAGCAACAAGUUCACUGGUAAGGGUUGCUGAAGUUCUUGAGGAGGUCCGGGAUGUCGUGCGCGAGCAUGUCGUCCACGGCCUGCACCAUCUUGGGCUUCAUCUUCUCGAACUUGUCGAUGCUGUACCCGGACAGCACCUGCUUGAAGUGCUCCACGUCGGGGAAGUCGCCCGCCGGAAGGUGGUACUCCCUCUGGACCUGUUUCCAAUACAUCUCAGGCGUCAAUGGAGCGGGCACAUUGUGCAGAAAGGAGGCAGUUAUGGAUUAAGAUGCAAGCAAAUGAACACCAUGUAUUUGAAAUUCAUUUGGUUUCACUUUGCGGUGGAGGAAGGUAUUCAUCAUGUAUCUGAAAUUCAUCAUGCAAAUUCAUUGUUUUGCAUGUUAAUACCUUUGCAAACUCAUCUUGCAAGUUGUCAAUGAGUCGCUGUUGAGCCUUGGCUUUCCCCAUCAUUGCAGGCAUCUCCUUCUUCAGCUGGCCAAUUAUGUAAGCAUGGAUCUUCGCAGCUCUAGCACGCUUCACAAACUCAUUGACCUACGCAUGGAAAUGGCAAGCCAGUCAUAUUGAAAUUCUGCAGUCCAUAUAAGGAUUCCAUACAUAAUUAAGUAUGAUACAUUAUUACUUACCCGGCGAUCACAAGCCUUCUUAGGUAUGUCUUUCAGGUCAGCAAGGAGAUCCUCUUGCUCUUUCUCAAACAAUUCCUUUCCAAUUGGCCCAACAGCUGAUUCAUUCACAGGUUUGUCAUUGAACGACCUGCAAAUAUUAGCUUCAACAUGAGUUUCAGGUUACGAUACAAAAACAUGAAGACACCAGUCCUGCACCUGGUGCUGGAUUCACACUACAUUUUGGUCUUCAAAAAUAUGCAGACUUUUUUUUCUUUGAUAGUAUACUAGAGCUGUACAACCUUCAAUCUCCAGAAGUAAAGAUUACUAAAGCAUUACAGCAUUACAGAGAAGAGGACUAUUACCCAAUGUAGACACGCAUAACCUCAGGGGUGUUUAGAACUUUCCCAAGAGACCACAUCAGCGCACCGUACACUCUCAUAAGCUGCAGCACACAUAAGGGAAAAUUUUGGUUUCAUAUAAUCAUGUGUGCCGGGUUACACCUAGGGAAAAAAAUAGCAGGAACAUACAAGUAGAUUGCAAGAAAAACAUAUACCUGCUGAGUGUCAACUUGAUCUGCCUUGUUCAGCACCACACGUAUUUUGUCUUCAUUCCCACGUAAAGAAGAAAUGACACGCUUGAAUUCAUCACUGAUAUCGAGCUUGUGAGGAUCAAACAAUAGAAGAAUAACAUCGCACUUUGCAGCAAACCAUGAAGUUACACCAGUGAAAUCAUAACUACGCUGGGUCCUUUGCUUUUCACCAGAGAGAACACCAGGAGUGUCGACAAAGGUGAUAUGAUCCAGUAGCUUCAAAAAACAAGGCAGCUAUCAGUGUCUGAAAUGACUGUUUCACAUGUAUUAGUAUCUCAAUUAAUGCUUACAGGAUGUGGCAUCUGAGAGCAUUCAAACUUUGAUAGGAAUGCACCCCCAAAUGUCGUGAGACCAUUGAAAGGCAUAUCGGCUUGGACUGCAAUUGUAUUGCCAGGAACAGUCCUUUCAUCAGAUCCUGACUGACGUGGGGAAAAAAUAUGAGAGAUCAAUGGGAUAAAUACGAGUACAUUAACAAUAGAAGCAAAUAGGGAAUGCAAAUUGAUAAGAUUUUUAUGUCAAAUGUCAGCCAGAAAUCCUGUAUCCAAAAAAGUGCACAAAUAUUUUACACGUGUGCAUUAAAACUCUAGCCACUAAAGGAAUAUUUUAAUGAAAAGUGGGAUAAACAAAACAGCAGUUGUCUUCUGUGUCCCAUUGUAUUUCAGCAAACUAAGAACACAACACCAUCGUGAUAAAGAAACUCCUCAAACUCCUGGGUUAUUACCAAGUUAUGUGUUUAUUAACAGCUCUCAUCAAUUCAUGCUUUUGCUGACAUAGAAACAAAAGCAACUAUUAAAUCCUCACAUCAUGCUACAAAAUUGAUGAAGCUGGGCAGAACAGACACUACUGUCAUUGGUCCAUAUCUGUAUGCCAUCUUUGUUUCUUACAAAAGAAAGAGCUGAUGUUUUCAACAUCAACAUAAAUAAUUCAGUUAACACUGAAAAGCAAGCAUUCCGAGUAAAUAUGCUCAAGCAAUAAUUAUCUGAAAAAUCUCUUAUCCUUGCUGCAUGUACAUAAAUAUUCAUGCAACACUUACCAUCACAACCACAAAUCUGUCAGUAGUGGGCUCUGGUCCGAUAUGAGCUCCUGCAUUUCGAAAGGCCAAUUAGAGUUGCAGUCCGAUGUUAUAGAGAAACGUACCACCAAAAUAGAUGGCGUGGCCAAAAAUGAAACUCAGGUUUUCUGUAUUAAAUAAAGCCCCAAACCUGGGAAGUUUGUCUUCAACAGGUGCUUAAUGAAUGUUGUUUUCCCUGUAGAAUAUUGACCUAAGAGCAUAACCAUUGGCUUCGCAUCGAAGUCGCUGUUCGUCUGAAAUAUGGAAGAAUAAAUGCAAUGACAUGAAAGUACCGACUCAAUAACACACUCGGGAUGAAAGAAGAUGGGGUCGAGAACAUUGUGAUCUGUAAAUCAUAACGAAACUAGGGUUUAAACAGAAGUCUGUACCAGCAAUGGAGAGGCAAAAUCAUUGAACCGGUAUGCAACUUCUAAAGGCUUCAGUUUUUCGAUGUACAGUCUUUUCAAGCCAUCAAUUACAGAAGUAACAGCAGUCAGAGGCGUUUGAAUCUACAAAGCACCAAAGAAAAGACUGCUGUGAAUACAUGCUCUAAUUGGCAAAGUCAGCUUCGAUGAUUCAAUAAGUUACAGUGGUUUAGUUAAUAACAAAGAGAGAAAAUUAAUAUGUGCUGCAAUGACAAAGUUACUGAAAAUGGAAAGAUUGCACAUGAGUAGAGUACCUUCUUUGCUGAUUUGGAACUGAACCAGCUGUUUGUAGAAGGUGCUUGCACCUGAGGGGUGCCUGAACAGAACAGAAAUGAUUAGCAUCAUACAGGACUUUAUUAUCAUGAUUUACCAUGGGAAAAGGGGGCAGACUGAUUACCAUUUUCUUGUGGGCGAACUACAUUCACAAUAGCCAUUGAUCUCUAAAAAAGAAAUACCCAUUACAAAAUACCAUGUUAGUGUGAGAGGCUGUAAAUGCAAUUGAAUGACACAGGAUAAGCUGCACAUCUAAUAAACUUACAGCAAGCAGCUCAUCAAGACCUUUCAUCACAGGAGGAUCGAAGCUACUCAGAUCUGAGAAAACAACCACAAGCAAUCCAGCUCAAAUAUCAGACACAGAUGAACUCGGCAGAAAUAAAAACAGAUGAGGCGCAGUUCACAGCCCACAUCAUAACAAGGUGCCACCGACCUUCACGCUUGAGACUGUCCUGGGUGAUCUCAUUCCCCGCUUGAGCCAGAGAUACGAGCUGCAGAUUGCAACAGACGAAACCAUCAACACCACACAGCCACAUCUCCUACUACCAGCAGCACAGACUAGCGAACUAGCGCCUAAACGGAGAGGGCAAAAGUGGGCAAACCUGCAUCGCGGCCGCGAACUCGCCGAAGCCGAGGUAACCCUGCCGCUUGGAGUCAGCAAUCGCCCAAACCUUGAAUCGAUCGACAACGGACUAGUUAGACUCCCAUUCACCAGCGGCAACUCGAGUUAUCGGCGGCCGGUUCACUCACCUGCUUGAGGUCGGCGCGGGAGAGGCCGGACAUGGCGAAGAACUUGGUGGCGUCGGCGCCCGUGACGCGCCCGUCUCCAUCUGCAGGGACAGCCGGGGACGCCGCCCCAGGAGAAUCAGCAAAGCGUCGGCCAUCCCCUCCCAAUCCUUAGAUUUGGGGGGCGCUGGUGGUGGGAACCGCGAAGGUUGCGAGAGCACGCACCUGGGUCGGCGAUGGCGAACCAGUCGGCGUAGAUCCUCUGGUGCUCCUUGGAGCAGCCCACGGCGGCGGCGGACCGCGCGAUCUCCAUCCACGGUUUCCCUCCUCGCGUCGGCGGCGGCGGCGGCUGACGCGAGCAGCAGCGGCAGCAGGAGUGGACAAACGGAAACCUCACAGGGUGCGUGUGCUCGUCUCCUCUCCCCCUCUUCGGCGUGGAAUGGGGAGGCAUUUGAAAUCGGGGACCCCCCCNNNNNNNNNNNNNNNNNNNNNNNNNNNNNNNNNNNNNNNNNNNNNNNNNNNNNNNNNNNNNNNNNNNNNNNNNNNNNNNNNNNNNNNNNNNNNNNNNNNNNNNNNNNNNNNNNNNNNNNNNNNNNNNNNNNNNNNNNNNNNNNNNNNNNNNNNNNNNNNNNNNNNNNNNNNNNNNNNNNNNNNNNNNNNNNNNNNNNNNNNNNNNNNNNNNNNNNNNNNNNNNNNNNNNNNNNNNNNNNNNNNNNNNNNNNNNNNNNNNNNNNNNNNNNNNNNNNNNNNNNNNNNNNNNNNNNNNNNNNNNNNNNNNNNNNNNNNNNNNNNNNNNNNNNNNNNNNNNNNUUUUUCAGUUUCUUUAAUGGGGCUGGACGCUCCCCUUUAUUUUAGGGCUGGACCGGUGCUCGGAAUUGUUUCGAACGAAUGGUGUUCGGCCCAUAUGACUAGAAGGCCUGUUAGGUCAGUUGUAGGUUGUUUUUUUUUCUCAUCCGGGCUGAAUGUAUGAACGGCAGAAUGGUAAAAUGGCUCCCCUAACAAACAAACAAAAACUUACUUUCUCAAAAAUAAAAAUCCUUAGGGAAGAUUGGUUGCAGCAUAGAGCUGAGUAUUCAAACACCGAGACAAGCAUAAAACAGUGGAGGCGGUUGUGAAAGUUAAGGUCCCCUCAAAACUAAAAAACUUUGCACGGAGUUUGGUGAAGAAUCAUGUUCAUGCAUUUUUAGUUUGUCACCAUCACAAUAUGAUAGGGUCAGGCCUUGUGCUAUAUGCAAUGUGAUACGUGGAAGCUGAAAGGAUCAAUACGAUCAAAUACAUGAGGGUGAAUAAAAUACUAUUAAUUUUAAACUUAACUUCUAAUUUUAGGGCAAUGUGAAUAAAGUAGAUUAUCUAGAUAUGCAAAUGGGUGAACACAAUUUAUAUGGCAAGCAAGCUCAAAUCAGAGUAUGCUAGGCAACAAUCUUAUUAGCAAACCAAUAAGCAUACAAGAGAAGUAAAGUGAGGCCAAGGAUUAACCACGAGUGAGUCAAGGACGCAGAUUUUAUCCCGGAGUUCAAGCUCCUUGGGGAGUUCUAAUUUGCGUUGAAGAAUGUCGAAGGCAAAGCUCGAGAGCGUCACCGGCUCAUCAUAUUCCCAGUUUGAGUCACCCCCUCCCCUCCCCAAUGUAUGAGCAUCAAAUCACUCGGGAUGGUCUUAAAGGUGAGUACCAUACCUUUACAAAUUUUCGGAAGCACACCAUAAGUAGAGAAGUUUCUGGGGAUGACCUCUACCGCCUAGGAGCCCAACCUUCAAGAGUAACAAUGCUGAUGGAGAAAAAUUGAGCGGAGAACACAAAUCGAUUUGGUGGAAGUGCAGAUCGGGUUUUGCUCUCUUUUUCCAAAGAAUCAACAAGUUUGAGUGGGGGAAUGGAGAGUAUUGAGCAAAUCCAGGUGUACCAAUGGGGGAGGCUUGCUACUUGUGAGUUGCGUUGUGAUUUCCCCGAAUAGGAGAGGAUGAUGAAGUACAUUAGAAAUAAGUACUUCCCUCAGUUAAGAACCAAUGUUGUCAAUCUAGUAGGAGAACCACACAACACCUUGUUAGCAGUACCUACACACAAAACAACAACUACUUGCACCCAACGCGAACAAGGGGUUGUCAAUCCCUCGUCGGUUAAUUGCAAGGAUUAAAAUCUCGUAGUGAUAGAUAUAUAAAUAAAAUACAAAAUAAAUAAAGUAAAGAAAAAUUGUAGCAAGGUAUUUUGGAUUUUAAUAUAUGAUAAAAAGUAGACCCAGGGCCAUAGUUUUCACUAGAGGCUUCUCUCUUGAAAAUAGCAUACGGUGGGUAAACAAAUUAUUGUUAGGAAAUUGAUAGAAAAGCGAAUAAUCAUGAUGAUAUCCAAGGCAAUGAUCAUGUAUAUAGGCAUCACAUCCGAGACAAGUAGACCGACUCCUGCCUGCAUGUACUACUAUUACUCCACACAUCGACCGCUAUCCAGCAUACAUCUAGAGUAUUAAGUUCAUAAAGAACGGAGUAAUGCCUUAAGCAAGAUGAUGUGAUGUAGACAAAGUAAACUCAUGCAUGAAUAAACCCCAUUUUUUUAUCCUUAAUGGCAACGAUACAAAUACGUGUCAUGUCUCUUUCUGUCACUGGGAUUGAGCACCACAAGAUCGAACCCAUCACAAAGCACAUCUCCCAUGGCAAGAAAAAUCAAUCUAGUUGGCCAAACCAAAUCAAUAGAUUGAAUAGAAAUACAAAGCCAUAAUAAUCAUGCAUAAACGAGUUCAGAGAAGACUCAAAUAAUAUUCAUGGAUAAUCUGAUCAUAAACUCACAAUUCAUCAGAUCCCAACAAACACACCAUAAAAAGUGAUUACAUCGAAUAAAUCUCCAAGAACAUCGAGGAGAACACUGUAUUGAAGAUCAAAGAGAGCGGAGAGGCCAUCUAGGUACUAACUAUGGACCAGUAGAUCUAUAGUAGACUGCUCACACAUCAUCAGAAGAGCAACAGGUUGAUGUAGAGCCCCUCCGUGGUUGAUUCCCCCUCCGGCAGAGUGCCGAAAAAGGCCUCCAGAUGGGAUCUCUCGAGAAGAGAAGCUUGCGGCGGCGGAAAAAGUAUUUUGGGUGGCUCUCUGUUGGUUUCUCGAUUUCAGAGAACUUAUAGAGGCGGAAUUAGGUCAAAUGGGUGAACAUGGACCUCACGAGCCACCAGGGACGCGCCUACCCCCUGGGCGCACCCUGGUGCCUUGUGGGAUCCUCCUUUAUCUUCUGGCCCUCUCCCGAAGCUUUCAGGGUCUCUUUUGUUCGGAAAAAAUCUUCAAAAAGUUUCAUGGCAUUUGGACUUCGUUUGGUACUGAUAUUCUGAAAAACCAAAAACACGCAAAAACAUCAACUGGCACUGGGCACUAAGUUAAUAGGUUAGUCCCAAAUAAUGAUAUAUAAUUUUUUGCAGGAAAAAAUGAUAUAUAAUUGCUUGUAGUUUCAUAUAAACAUCCAAGAUUGAUACUAUAAUAGCAUGGAACAAUAAAAAAUGUAGAUACGUUGGAGAUGUAUCAAGGCUCACAAGGUGUUAGGGUUAGGUUUGGAGGUAGAAGAAGGGAGGAAUUUACGGUCUCUCCAAAAAACCGUUUGGAGUCUGGAGACCCCAUGUGCGCAGGAGUAGACCUUGUGUGCGCGGUAGAGCUGUCCAGUUGGUUUCCCACUCCCCCGUGUGCAAGGGGAUAGCCAACCAAUGGCUCAAUCUUAUACUAGGCUAGAUAUUUUGAAAGUGGAUAAGUUUGGGUAGGCUAGUUUAUUUGGUUUGUGAAAGGAUAAGAAUGAUCGACUAGAAGGGGGUUGAAUAGGCGACUAAUAAUUUUUAACUUGGUUCUCAAUUUUAGGCUCAGCAAAAGGUAGGUUGUCUAGAUAUGCAACUAGGUGGACAACCUAUGUGAUAAGAAUAAUGAGCAGCACAAGCUCGCAAGAGUAAAACACAAGGUGGAAGCUACCAACAAGUAAAUGUACGAGAUAACCGCAAGUGGAGACGAUGAAGACGAGGAUGUGUUCCCAAAGUUCCCUCAUUGGGGGAGGUACGUCUCCGUUGGAGGGGUGUGGAGGCACAAUGAUCCCCAAGCAUCCCAAGGACUCACCUAUUCUCCUCACCCCUCGCACGAUGCAAGGUGCCACGAAUUCACUAGCGGUGCCCUUGAAGGUGGUAACCCGAACCUUUACAAACAAGGUUGGGGCUCUCUCACAACUUAAUUGGAGGCUCUCAACACCACCACAGAGCUUCACCAUAAUGGAAUGUGGCUCCAAGGUGAUCUAUUCCUUCUAGGAUGCCCAAACACCCAAGAGUAACAAGAUCAACAAGAAGUGUAUGGGGGAAUCAAAUUUUCUUUGAUGGAAGUGUAGAUCUUUUCUUUGGAUAAACUUGCCUCCAUUGUUUUCUCUCUUCUCAUAAGGACACUCCACAAUGAAGGGAGUCACAUUCCCAUAAUUGUGACAAGUCCUUACUCAUUGACCUUUUGGCCUGUAGCCACUUGAGUUGUUGGACUUGAAGUUCCUCUUGUUGCCCCAAAAUUGCCUUAACUCAAGAGUCAUGUGAUCUAGUAAGCAUAUUUGGUGUCCUCGGGGCAACUAUCAUCCUCUUAUUCUUCCUCUUCUUGGAUAACAUUGGCCUUCAAAGCAAGGUCGGGUUUCUUCAAUCAUACACGAGCAAUAGCAUUGUCGGCGGUCUUGUUCAAGAUGUCCAUGGCGAUGAAAUCAUCCAACACAUAAUUGGAGGAUAAGGAAUGAAAGUAUGGUCUUUGGCGGAUCACGGAAGACAUUCUCUUGUUGUAAGGCAUGACCGCCUUAAGAAACUUGCGCUUGACCCAAUUGACAUAUGUGUCCUUGCUCCAAUGAUCUCGAAGGAAAACCGUGGGAGUCGCUGCUACUUGUGAGUUGUGUUGGGAUUUCCCCCGAAGAGGAAGGGUGAAGCAAUAUAGUAGAGGAUAGUAUUUCCCUUAGUGAGCCAAUGUUAUUGAACCAAUAGGAUAACCACACAAGUGAACAAUACAUGCACGUACAAGAGCAAAUACUUGCACCCAACACGGGCAAUAUGGUUGUCAAUCCCCUUGUACUUGUUAAUUGCAAGGAUUAAAUCUAAUAGUUGUAGGUAGAUAAAAUUGCAAAUAAAAUAAAAGAAGUAAAAUUGUAGCAAGGUAUUUUUGGUUUUUGUAAUAUGAUUGAAAUAGACCUCGGGGCCAUAGUUUUCACCAGAGGCAUUUCUCUCAUAAUAAAAGCAUACUAUGGGUAGACAAAUUAUUGUUGGGCAAUUCAUAGAAAAGCGCAAAGUUAUGACAUUAUUCAUGGUAAUGAUCAUGUAUAUAGGCAUUAAGUCCGUGACAAGUAGAUCGACUCCUGCCUGCAUCUACUACUAUUACUCCACCCAUCGACCAACUCAUGCCUGCAUCUAGGGUAUCAAGUUCAUGACAAACAAAGCAAUGCUUUAAGCAAGAUGGCAUAAUGUAGAUAGAAUAAAGGGAUAAUUGGUUUUAUGCCCCUAGUUGUGUCCCACUCGACGGGAUUGCCCCUAAUUUCCAAAAGACAGCGGUUCUAUCCAACCCACUUUGUCGUCUUGUGCUUUCGCCCUUUGACCGUUUGACUGUCACUUUGAAAACUUCAUAACUAAUUCAUACUAAACCAGAAAAAUGCAAAUAAGAUACUGAAAUGUUUGGAAAAACAUCACAUGUAUGUUAAUGUCAAUUGCAUUCAUAAAAAAAGUGGUGGUAAGUGCCCAUUCGAGUUUUAGCUCUUAUCACAGCACCAUGAACAGUAAAAUCUUAAAAAGUUCAAAAAAUCCAAAAAAAUUUGGUGCCAAAGAAUGACAAAUGUUUUAAGCGCUUGCCAAGUUUCACCAGGGAAUGCCAUUUGUGGAAGUCAUGGCAAAAAACAAUCUAUUUUGGAGUGUUGAUUUUUUUGCCAUGACUUCCACAAAUGUCAUUGCCUGAUGAAACUUGGCAAGCACUAAAAACAUUUGUCAUUCUUUGACACCAAUGUUUUUUGGAUUUUUUUGAACUUUGUAUGAUUUUACUAUUCAUGGUGGUGUGAUAAGAGCUAAAACUCAAAUGGGCACUUAUCAACACUUUUUUCAUGAAUGCAAAGUGACAUUGACAUACAGGUGAUGUUUUUCCAAACAUUUUGGCAUCUUAUUUGCAUUUUUCUGAUUUAGUAUGAAUUAGUUAUGAAGUUUUCAAAGUGACAGUCAAACGGUCAAAGGGUAAAAGCACAAGACGACCAAAGUGGGUUGGACAGAACCGCUGGCUUUUGGAUUAGGGGCAAUCAUGUCGAGUGGGACACAACUAGGGGCAUAAAACCAAUUAUCCCUAGAAUAAAACCAAGCAAUAUGAUUAAACCCCAUCAUUUUACCCUUAAUGGCAAUAAUACAAUACGUGCCUUGCUACCCCUGCUGUCACUGGGUGAGGACACCGUAAGACUGAACCCACUACAAAGAACCUCUCUGUUGAAGAUAAAUCAAUCUAGUUGGCCAAACCAAACGGAUAGAUCAGAGAGAAAUACGAAGAUCAUGCAUAAUAAAGUUCAAAAAAGACUCAAUUACUUUUAGUGAAUAAUUUGGUCAUAAACCCACAAUUCAUCGUGAAGGAAAUAUGCCCUAGAGGCAAUAAUAAAGUUGUUAUUAUAUAUUUCCUUAUUCACGAUAAAAGUUUAUUAUUCAUGCUAGAAUUGUAUUGACCGGAAACUUAAAUACAUGUGUGAAUACUUAAACAAAUACCGUGUCCCUAGUAAGCCUCUACUAGACUAGCUCGUUGAUCAAAGAUGGUUAAGGUUUCCUAACCAUUGACAUGUGUUGUCAUUUGAUAACAGGAUCACAUCAUUAGGAGAAUGAUGUGAUGGGCAAGACCCAUCGGUUAGCUUAGCAUAAUGAUUGUUCAGUUUAUUGCUAUUGCUUUCUUCAUGUCAAAUACAUAUUCCUUCGACUAUGAAUGAAACUCCUGGAUACCGGAGGAAUACCUUGUGUACUAUCAAACGUCACAACGUAACUAGGUGAUCACAAAGAUGCUCUACAGGUAUCUCCAAAGGUGUUUUUUGAGUUAGCAUAGAUCGAGAUUAGGAUUUGUCACUUCGAGUAUCAGACUCUGGGCCCUCUCGGUAAUACACAUCAUAAGGAGCCUUGCAAGCAAAGUGACUAAUGAGUUGGUUACAGGAUGAUGUAUUACGGAACGAGUAAAGAGACUUGCCGGCAACGAGAUUGAACUAGGUAGAAGAUAUCGACAAUCGAAUAUCGGGCAAGUAACAUACCGAUGGACAAAGGGAAUUACGUAUAAGGGCUCAACCGAUAAAGAUCUUCGUAGAAUAUGUAGGAGCCAAUAUGGGCAUCCAGGUUCCACUAUUGGUUAUUGACCGGAGACGUGUCUCAGUCAUGUCUACAUAGUUCUCGAACCCGUAGGGUCCGCACGCUUAAACGUUUGUUGGCGAUAUAGUGUUAUAUGAGUUAUAUGAUUUGGUGACUGAAUGUUGUUUAGAGUCUCGGAUGAGAUCACGUACAUGACAAGGAUUCUCGAAAUGGUCUAGAGGUAAAGAUUGAUAUAUAGGACGAUGGUAUUUGGACACCGGAAGGGUUUCAGGAUGCACCAGGUAGCCAUCGGGUCACCAAAAGGGGUUCCGGACACCCCCGGUAGGUGUCAUGGGCUUAAUGGGCUAAGGGAGGGAUAGACCAGCCCACAAGGAGCUGGUGCGCCCCUCUCCCUGGUCGUUCAGCCCUAGGGAAGGAAAAGGGGGAGGGCUAGCCCCUCUUACCUUUCCCUCUCAUGGGAGAAAGGAAAGGGGGCGGGGGUGGGGCGCCACCCUCCCAUGCCUUUCCCCCGCACCUAUACAAGGCAGGGGGUGCGGCUUAGGAGAGACCCCAAGUAGGAUUCCUCCUACUUGGGUGCCCCCCUUGGCUGCUCCUCCCUCCCUCCCACCUAUAUAUAUGUGGGAGGGGGCACUUAGCACAGCAACAGACAAUUGCCUAGCCAUGUGCGGUGCCCCCCUCCACUGUUUACACCCCCGAUCAUAUUUUCGUAGUGCUUAGGUGAAGCCCUGCGGAGAUAGCUUCACCAUCACCAUCACCCAUGCCAUCGUGUUGUCGGAACUCAUCCACUACCUCGUCGUCUUGCUGGAUCAAGAAGGCAGAUGACGUCAUCGAGCUGAACGUGUGCCGAACAUGAAGGUGCCGUACGUUCGGUGCUCGAUCGGUUGAAACGCGAAGAAGUUCGACUACAUCAACCGCGUUGUCAAACGCUUCCGCUUAUGGUCUACGAGGGUACGUAGACACACUCUCCCCCUCUCAUUGCUAUGCAACUCCUUGAUAGAUCUUGCGUGUGCGUAGAAUUUUUUUUGUUUUCCAUGCAACAUUUCCCAGCAGUGGCAUCAGAGCCAGGUCUAUGCGUAGCUGAUAUGCAUGAGUAGAACACAAAGAGUUGUGGGUGGUGAUAGUCAUACUGCUUACCACCAACAUCUUAUUUUGAUUCGGCGGUAUUUUGGGAUGAAGCGGCCCGUAAUAACCUUACAUGUUCAUGCACAUGAGAUCGGUUCCACCGUAAGACAUGCAACUAGUUUUGCAUAAUGGUAGCUGGCGGGUGUCUGUUUCUCCUACUUUAGUUGAAUCGAAUCUGACUACGACCAGUCCUUGAAGAAGGUUAAAACAACAAACUUGAUAAAACACCAUUGUGGUUUUUGCCGUAGGUAAGAACGGUUCUUGCUAGAAGCCCGUAGCAGCCACGUAAAACUUGUUGGAAAUAUGCCCUAGAGGCAAUAAUAAAAUGGUUAUUAUUGUAUUUCCUUGUUCAUGAUAGUUGUCUAUUAUUCAUGCUAUAAUUGUAUUGACCGGAAACCGCAAUACAUGUGUGAAUACAUAGACCACAACAUGUCCCUAGUGAGCCUCUAGUUGACUAGCUCGUUGAUCAACAGAUGGUCAUGGUUUCCUGACCAUGGACAUUGGAUGUCAUUGAUAAUGGGAUCACAUCAUUAGGAGAAUGAUGUGAUGGACAAGACCCAAUCAUAAGCCUAGCACAAGAUCGUGUAGUUCGUAUGCUAAAGCUUUUCUAAAUGUCAAGUAUCUUUUCCUUAGACCAUGAGAUUGUGCAACUCCCGGAUACCGUAGGAAUGCUUUGGGUGUACCAAACGUCACAACGUAACUGGGUGGCUAUAAAGGUGCACUACCGGUAUCUCCGAAAGUGUCUGUUGGGUUGGCACGAAUCGAGACUGGGAUUUGUCACUCCGUGUGACGGAGAGGUAUCUCUGGGCCCACUCGGUAGGACAUUAUCAUAAUGUGCACAAUGUGAUCAAGGAGUUGAUCACGAGAUGAUGUGUUACGGAACAAGUAAAGAGACUUGCCGGUAACGAGAUUGAACAAGGUAUCGGCAUACUGACGAUCGAAUCUCGGGCAAGUACUAUACCGGUAGACAAAGGGAAUUGUAUACGGGAUUGAUUGAAUCCUUGACAUUGUGGUUCAUCCGAUGAGAUCAUCGUGGAACAUGUGUGAGCCAACAUGGGUAUCCAGAUCCCGAUGUUGGUUAUUGGCCGGAGAGUUGUCUCGGUCAUGUCUGCAUGGUUCCCGAACCCGUAGGGUCUACACACUUAAGGUUCGAUGAUGCUAGGGUUAUAGGGAAGGUAUGUACGCGGUUACUGAAUGUUGUUCGGAGUCCCAGAUGAGAUCCCGGACAUCACGAGGAGUCCCGCAAUGGUCCGGAGGUGAAGAUUGAUAUAUUGGACAAAGGGUUUUGGAGUCCGAAAGUGUUCCGGAGGUACCGGGUAAUGACCAGCAUGACCGAAAGGUGUUUCGGGAGCCCCGGCAAGUGUUGGGGGGCUUCAUGGGCCAAGGGGAGGGGGCAAACCAGCCCGCUAAGGGGCUGUGCCCCCCCCUCACCUAUUCCCAUGUGACGAGGGGGUUUGGGGCGCCCCAUCUAGGGUUCCCACCUCCUGGCUUGGGGGCCAAGUCACCCAAAGGGGAGAUCCCAUCUGCCCUGGCCGCCGCCCCCCCUAGGGGAAACCCUAGGGAACCUCCCCCUCUCCCUUCCCCCUAUAUAUAGUGGAGGUUUUGGGGCUACCCAACACAUGAGUCUCUCUCUCCCAAGGCACAUCCCUACCUCCCUCCCUCCUCGUCUCUCGUAGUGCUUGGCGAAGCCCUGCUGGAGUACCGCGCUCCUCCACCACCACCACGCCAUCGUGCUGCUGUUGGACGGAGUCUUCCCCAACCUCUCCCUCUCUCCUUACUGGAUCAAGGCAUGGGAGACGUCACCGGGCUGCACAUGUGUUGAACGCGGAUGCGCCGUUGUUCGGUGCUUAGAUCGAAAUCGACUGCGAUCUGAAUCGCCACGAGUACGACUACCUCAUCCGCGUUCUUGCAACGCUUCCGCUUAGCGAUCUUCAAGGGUAUGAAGAUGCACUCCCUCUCUCUCUCGUUGCUAAUCUCUCCAUAGAUUGAUCUUGGUGAUGCGUAGAAAAUUUUGAAUUUCUGCUACGUUCCCCAACAGUGGUAUCAGAGCCAGGUUUAUUGCAUAGAUUCUAUGCAUGAGUAGAACACAAGUUGUUGUGGGUGUUGAUUUUGUUCAAUAUGCUUACCGUUACUAGCCCUAUCUUGUUUCGACGGUAUUGUGGGAUGAAGCGGCCCGGACCGACCUUACACGUACACUUACGUGAGACAGGUUCCACCGACUGACAUGCACUUGUUGCAUAAGGUGGCUAGCGGGUGCCAGUCUCUCCCACUUUAGUCGGAUCAGAUUCGAUGAAAAGGGUCCUUAUGAAGGGUAAAUAGCAAUUGGCAUAUCACGUUGUGGCUUUUGCGUAGGUAAGAAACGUUCUUGCUAGAAACCCAUAGCAGCCACGUAAAACAUGCAAACAACAAUUAGAGGACGUCUAACUUGUUUUUGCAGGGUAUGCUAUGUGAUGUGAUAUGGCCAAAAUAAUGUGAUGUAUGAUAUUGAUCAUGUUCUUGUAAUAGGAAUCACAACUUGCAUGUCGAUGAGUAUGACAACCGGCAGGAGCCAUAGGAGUUGUCUUUAUUUACUGUAUGACCUGCGUGUCACUGAAUAACGCCAUGUAAUUACUUUACUUCAUUGCUAAACCAUUAGCCAUAGUAGUAGAAGUAAUAGUUGGCGAGACAACUUCAUGGAGACACGAUGAUGGAGAUCAUGAUGAUGGAGAUCAUGGUGUCAUGCCAGUGACGAUGAUGAUCAUGGAGCCCCGAAGAUGGAGAUCAGAAGGAGCAAAAUGAUAUUGGCCAUAUCAUGUCACUUUUUGAUUGCAUGUGAUGUUUAUCAUGUUUAUGCAUCUUAUUUGCUUAGAAUGACGGUAGUAAAUAAGAUGAUCCCUCAUAAUAAUUUCAAGAAAGUGUUCCCCCUAACUGUGCACCAUUGCGAAAGUUCGUUGUUUCGAAGCACCACGUGAUGGUCGGGUGUCAUAGAUUCUAACGUUCACAUACAACGGGUGUAAGCCAGAUUUACACAUGCGAAACACUUAGGUUGACUUGACGAGCCUAGCAUGUACAGACAUGGCCUCGGAACACAAGAGACCGAAAGGUCGAACAUGAGUCGUAUAGUGGAUACGAUCAACAUGAAGAUGUUCACCAAUGAUGACUAGUCCGUCUCACGUGAUGAUCGGACACGGCCUAGUUGACUCGGAUCAUGUAUCACUUAAGAUGACUAGAGGGAUGUCUAUCUGAGUGGGAGUUCAUUAGAUGAACUUAAUUAUCCUGAACAUAGUCAAAAGGUUUUUGCAAAUUAUGUCGUAGCUCACGCUUUAGUUCUACUGUUUUAGAUAUGUUCCUAGAGAAAAUUUAGUUGAAAGUUGAUAGUAGCAAUUAUGUGGACUAGGUCCGUAAACUGAGGAUUGUCCUCAUUGCUACGUAGAAGGCUUAUGUCCUUAAUGCACCGCUUGGUGUGCUGAACCUCGAACGUCGUCUGUGGAUGUUGCGAACAUCUGACAUACACGUUUUGAUGACUACAUGAUAGUUCAGUAAUGUUAAACGGUUUAGAAUUGAGGCACCGAAGAUGAUUUUGAAACGUCGCGGAACAUAGGGGAUGUUCCAAGAGCUGAAAUUGGGAUUUCAGGCUCGUGCCCACGUCAAGAGGUAUAAGACCUCCGACGAGCUUCUUAGCCUACAAACUAAGGGAGAAAAGCUCAAUCAUUGGGCUUGUACUCAGAUUGUCUGGGUACAACAAUCACUUGAAUCGAGCGGGAGUUAAUCUUCUAGAUGAGAUAGUGAUGUUUCUCCAAAGACAUUGCCACCAAGCUAAUAGAGCUUCGUGAUGAACUAUAACAUAUCAGGGAUAGAUAUGAUGAUCCUUGAAAUAUUCGCAAUGUUUGACACCGCGAAAGUAGAAAUCAAGAAGGAGCAUCAAUUAUUGAUGGUUAGUGAAACCACUAGUUUCAAGAAGGGCAAGGGCAAGAAGGGGUACUUCAUGAAAUGACAAAUCAGUUGCUACUCCAGUGAAGAAACCCAGGGUUGAACCCAAACCUGAGACUAAGUGCUUCUGUAAUGAGGGAACGGUCACUGAAUCAGAACUACCCUAGAUACUUGGUAGAUGAGAAGGCUGGCAAGGUUGACAGAAGUAUAUUGGAUAUACGUUGUAUUAAAUGUGUACUUUACUAGUACUCCUAGUAGCACCAGGGUAUUAAGAUACCAGUUUGGUUGCUAAGUGUUAGUAACUCGAAAUAAAAGAGCUACGGAAUAAACGGAGACUAGCUAAAGGUGAGAUGACGAUGUGUGUUGGAAGUGUUUCCAAGGUUGAUGUGAUCAAGCAUCGCCUGCUCCGUCUACCAUCGAGAUUGGUGUUAAACCUAAAUAAUUGUUAUUUGGUGUUUGCGUUGAGCAUAGACAUGAUUGGAUUAUGUCUAUCGCAAUACGGUUAUUCAUUUAAGAAUAAUAGUGGUUACUCUAUUUAUUUGAAUAAUACCUUCAAUGGUCUUGCACCUAAAAGAAUGGUUUAUUGAAUCUCGAUCAUAGUGAUACACAUUUUCAUGCCAAAAGAUAUAAGAUAGUAAUGAUAGUACCACCUGCUUGUGGCACUGCCAUUUGAGUCAUAUUGGUAUAAAACGCAUGAAGAAGCUCCAUGUUGAUGGAUCUUUGGACUCACUCGUUUUUGAAAAGUUUGAGACAUGCGAACCAUGUCUAUUGGUAUGUGCGCAUGAAGAAACUCCAUGCAGAUGGAUCGUUUGGACUCACUUGAUUCUAAAUCACUUGAGACAUGUAGAUCAUACCACAUGGGCAAGAUGACUGAAAAGCCUCAUUUUUUAGUAAGAUGGAACAAGAGAGCAACUUGUUGGAAGUAAUACAUUUUGAUGUGUGUUGUCCAAUGAGUGUCGAGGCACGCAGUGGAUAUCGUUGUGUUCUUACUUCACAGAUGAUUUGAGUAGAUGCUGAGGAUAUUUACUUGAUGAAACACAAGUCUGAAUUAUUGAAAGGUUCAAGUAAUUUUAGAGUGAAGUUGAAGAUCGUCGUGACAAGAGGAUAAAAUGUCUAUGAUAUGAUCAUAGAGAUGAAUAUCUGAGUUACGUGUUUGGUACAAAAUUAAGACAUUGUGGAAAUUGUUUCACAACUAAUACCGCCUGGAACACCAUAGUGUGAUGGUGUGUCCGAACAUCAUAGAUGCACCCUAUUGGAUAUGGGGCAUACCAUGAUGUCUCUUAUCGAAUUACCACUAUCAUUCAUGGGUUAGGCAUUAGAGACAACCACAUUCACUUUAAAUAGGGCACCACGUAAUUCCAUUGAGAUGACACCGUAUGAAUAUGGUUUAGAGAAACCUAAGUUGUCGUUUCUUAAAAGUUUGGGGCUGCGACGCUUAUGUGAAAAGGUUUCAGCCAGAUAAGCUCGAACCCAAAGCGGAUAAAUACAUCUUCAUAGGACACCCAAAAAUAGUUGGGUAUACCUCCUAUUUCAGAUCCGGAAGCAAAAGUGAUUGUUUCUAGAAACGGGUCCUUUCUCGAGGAAAAGUUUCUCUAGAAAGAAUUGAGUGGGAGGAUGGUGGAGACUUGAUGAGGUUAUUGAACCGUCACUUCAACUAGUGUGUAGCAGGGCACAGGAAGUUGUUCCUGUGGUGCCUACACCAAUUGAAGUGGAAGCUGAUGAUAUUGAUCAUGAAACUUCGGAUCAAGUCACUACCGAAACUCGUAGGUUGACAAGGAUACAUACUACUUCAGAGUGGUACAUAAUCCUGUCUUGGAGGUCAUGUUGCUAGACAACAAUGAACCUAUGAGCUAUGAAGAAGUGAUGGUGGGCCCGGAUUCCAACGAAUGGCUCGAGGCCAUAAAAUUCGAGAGAGGAUCCAUGUAUAAAAACAAAGUAUAGACUUUGGAAGAACUACUUGAUGGUCGUAAGGCUGUUGGGUACAGAUGGAUCUUAAAAGAAAGAUGGACAAUGAUGGUAAGUAUCACCAUUAAGAAAGCUCGACUUGUCGUUAAGAUGUUUUCCGACAAGUUCAAGGAGUUGACUGCGAUGAGACUUUCUCAUUCGUAGCGAUGCUAAGAGUCUGUUGGAAUUAUAUUAGCAAUUACUGCAUGAUUUAUGAAAUCUUGCAGAUAGGAUGUCAAAACAUUGUUUCCUCGACGAUAUUCUUGAGGAAAGGUUGUAUGUGAUACAACCAGAAAGUUUGUCAAUCUUGAAAGAUGCUAACAAGUGUGCAAAGCUCCAGCAAUCCUUGUAGGGACUGGAGUAAGCAUCUCGGAGUUGGAAUAUACGCUUUGAUGAGAUGGUCAAAGAUUUUGGGUUUAUACAAAGUUUAUGAGAAACUUGUAUUUCCAAAGAAGUGAGUGGGAGCACUAUAGCAUUUCUGAUGAGUAUAUGUUGUUGACAUAUUGUUGAUCGGAAAUGAUGUAGAAUUUCUGGAAAGCAUAUAUGGUUAUUCGAAAAGUGUUUUUCAAUGGAAAACCUGGAUUAAGCUACUUGAACAUUGAGCAUCAAUAUCUAUAAGGAUAGAUCAAAACGCUUAAUAGUACUUUCAAAUGAAUACAUACCGUGACAAGAUUUUGAAGGAGUUCAAAAUAGAUCAGCAAAGAAGGAGUUCUUGGCUGUGUUAUAUGGUGUGAGUAUUGAGUAAGACUCAAGAUAUGACCACGGCAGAAGAGAGAGAAAGGACGAAGGUCGUCCCCUAUGCUUCAGACAUAGGCUCUAUAGUAUGCUAUGCUGUGUACCGCACCAGAAGUGUGCCUUGCCAUGAGUCAGUCAAGGGGUACAAGAGUGAUCCAGGAAUGGGUCACAGGACAACGGUCAAACUUAUCCUUAGUAACUAGUGGACUAAGGAAUUUUUCUCGAUUAUGGAGGUGGUAAAAGAGUUCGUCGUAAAGGGUUACGCCGAUGCAAACUUUGACACUAAUCCGGAUUAUUCUAAGUAGUAAACCGGAUUCGUAUAGUAGAACAGUUAUUUGGAAUAGUUCCAAAUAGAGCGUGGUAGCUGCAUCUAGGUGAUGACAUAGAGAUUUGCAAAAUACACACGGAUCUGAAAGGUUCAGAUCCGUUGACUAAUAACCUCUCUCACAAGCGAGAUAUGAUCAAACGCCAUGGGUGUCAAUUCAUUACAAUCACAUAGUGAUGUGAACUAGAUUAUUGACUCUAGUGCAAGUGGGAGACUAUUGGAAAUAUGCCCUAGAGGCAAUAAUAAAAUGGUUAUUAUUGUAUUUCCUUGUUCAUGAUAAUUGUCUAUUAUUCAUGCUAUAAUUGUAUUAACCAGAAACCGCAAUACAUGUGAAUACAUAGACCACAACAUGUCCCUAGUGAGCCUCUAGUUGACUAGCUCGUUGAUCAACAGAUGGUCAUGGUUUCCUGACCAUGGACAUUGUAUGUCAUUGAUAACGGGAUCACAUCAUUAGGAGAAUGGUGUGAUGGACAAGACCCAAUCCUAAGCCUAGCACAAGAUCGUGUAGUUCGUAUGCUAAAGCUUUUCUAAAUGUCAAGUAUCUUUUCCUUAGACCAUGAGAUUGUGCAACUCCCGGAUACCGUAGGAAUGCUUUAGGUGUACCAAACGUCACAACGUAACUGGGUGGCUAUAAAGGUGCACUACGGGUAUCUCCGAAAGUGUCUGUUGGGUUGGCAUGAAUCGAGACUGGGAUUUGUCACUCCGUGUGACGUAGAGGUAUCUCUGGGCCCACUCGGUAGGACAUCAUCAUAAUGUGCACAAUGUGAUUAAGGAGUUGAUCACGGGAUGAUGUGUUAUGGAACGAGUAAAGAGACUUGCCGGUAACGAGAUUGAACAAGGUAUCGACAUACCGACGAUCGAAUCUCGGGCAAGUACUAUACCGGUAAACAAAGGGAAUUGUAUACGGGAUUGAUUGAAUCCUUGACAUCGUGGUUCAUCCGAUGAGAUCAUCAUGGAACAUGUGGGAGCCAACAUGGGUAUCCAGAUCCCGCUGUUGGUUAUUGGCCGGAGAGUUGUCUCGGUCAUGUCUGCAUGGUUCCCGAACCCGUAGGGUCUACACACUUAAGGUUCGAUGAUGCUAGGGUUAUAAGGAAGGUAUGUACGCGGUUACCGAAUGUUGUUCAGAGUCCCGGAUGAGAUCCCAGACGUCACGAGGAGUCCCGGAAUGGUCCGGAGGUGAAGAUUGAUAUAUUGGACGAAGGGUUUUGGAGUCUGGAAGUGUUCCGGAGGUACCGGGUAAUGACCAGCAUGACCGAAAGGUGUUUCGGGAGCCCCGACAAGUGUUGGGGGGGCUUAAUGGGCCAAGGGGAGGGGGCAAACCAGCCCACUAAGGGGCUGUGCGCCCCCUCACCUAUUCCCACAUGACCCGGGGGUUUGGGGUGCCCCAUCUAGGGUUCCCACCUCCUGGCUUGGGGGCCAAGUCACCCAAAGGGGAGAUCCCAUCUGCCCUGGCCGCCGCCCCCCCUAGGGGAAACCCUAGGGCGCCUCCCCCUCUCCCUUCCCCCUGUAUAUAGUGGAGGUUUUGGGGCUGCCCAACACAUGAGUCUCUCUCCCAAGGCGCAGCCCUACCUCUCUCCCUCCUCGUCUCUCGUAGUGCUUGGCGAAGCCUUGCUGGAGUACCACGCUCCUCCACCACCACCACGCCAUCGUGCUGCUGCUGGAUGGAGUCUUCCCCAACCUCUCCCUCUCUCCUUGAUGGAUCAAGGCAUGGGAGACGUCACCGGGCUGCAUGUGUGUUGAACGCGGAGGCGCCAUUGUUCGGCGCUUAGAUCGGAAUCAACCGCGAUCUGAAUUGCCACGAGUACGACCACCUCAUCCGCGUUCUUGCAACGCUUCCGCUUAGCGAUCUUCAAGGGUAUGAAGAUGCACUCCCUCUCUCUCUCGUUGCUAGUCUCUCCAUAGAUUGAUCUUGGUGAUGCGUAGAAAAUUUUGAAUUUCUGCUACGUUCCCCAACGAAACUUGCAACAACAAAGUAGAUGACGUCUAACUUGUUUUUGCAGGGCAUGAUUGUGAUGUGAUAUGGUCAAGACAUGAUGUGAUAUACGUUAUUGUAUGAGAUGAUCAUGUUUUGUAAAUUAUCGGCAACCGGCAAGCCUUAUGGUUGUCUCUUUAUUGUAUGAAAUGCAAACGCCAUGUAAUUGCUUUACUUUAUCGCUAUGCGUUAGCAAUAGUUGUAGAAGCAAUAGUUGGCGAGACGACCACGACACAAUGAUGGAGAUCAAGGUGUCGAGCCGGUGACGAUGGAUAUCAUUAUGAUGCUUUGGAGAUGGAGAUCAAAAGCACAAGAUGAUGAUGGCCAUAUCAUGUCACAUAUUUUGAUUACAUGUGAUGUUUAUCCUUUAUGCAUCUUAUUUUACUUAUAUUGACGGUAGCAUUAUAAGAUGAUCCAUUCACUAAAUUAUGACGUCAAAUGGACCAAGCAUCUUGAGCUUUAAAUAAGUGUAGUGCGGAACCGCGUUGAAUUGAGCGAAAGCGGUCCAUCUAAGCAGUGCAUGAUAGCUGCUGCGGAAGGGGACGAUAUCGAAGAUUAAGUCUUCACUAUGGAAAUUGUCUGGCAAACCGAAGACGACUUACAAUGUUAUUGAACCCAAGCAACGGGCUUCUACGCCAGGUAUUACUCCUUUAAAUGUAGUUUUAGUGGGAUUGAUUCUUGACGGAUCAAUACCCAUUUUGCGGACAGUGUCCUGGUAAAGCAGGUUAAGACUACUGCCACCGUCCAUGAGGACUUGCGUGAGGUGGAAUCCGUCGAUGAUUGGGUUGAGGACCAAAGCUGCCAAACCUCCAUGAAGGAUACUGGUCGGGUGGUCCUUUUGAUCGAAGGUGAUCGGACAAGUCGACCAUGGGUUGUAUUUUGGGGCGACUGGCUCGACGGCGUACACGUCCCUUAGUGCGUGCUUGCUCUUCCGCUUGGGGAUGUGGGUGACGUAGAUCAUAUUGACCAUUUUGACCUCGGGGGGAAAUUUCUUUUGUCCCCCUGUGUUCAGUGGGCGAGGCUCUUCCUCGUCGUCCUUUCUGGACGGCCUUUUCCCCUUGUGUUCGGCAUUGAGCUUGCCAGCCUGUUUAAAGACCCAACAAUUUCUGUUAGUGUGAUUUGCAGGUUUAUCGGGGGUGCCAUGAAUCUGGCAAGGUCGAUCAAGUAUUCUGUCCAAACUGGAUGGACCAUCUUUGUUUCCUUUGAAUGGCUUCUUCCAUUGACCAGGUUUGGAGCCACUGAAUCCGGUGUUGACCACCGUGUCUUCGUUAUUGUUUCGACGCUUGUGCUUGUCGUGUUGUGGCUUUCCAUUGCCGUACCUGGCUUCAGGGGUGCUUGGGUCACUGGUGCUAUUGCUUCUACGAGCUAGCCAGCUAUCUUCUCCCGCACAAAAGCGGGACAUAAGUGCGGUAAGGGAUACCAUGGACUUUGGCUUCUCCUGGCCGAGGUGUCGGGCGAGCCACUCAUCCCGGACGCUGUGUUUGAAGGCCGCGAGGGCUUCGGCGUUCGGACAAUCCACAAUCUGGUUCUUUUUGAUUAAGAACCUGGUCCAGAGCUUCCGGGCUGAUUCAGCGAGUUGCUGGAUUAUGUGACUAAGGUCAUCGGCGUCUGGGGACCGAACAUAGGUACCUUGGAAGUUGUCUCUGAAGGCGUCCUCCAAGUCUUCCCAGCUGCCAAUAGAGUUUUCUGGGAGGCUAUUCAGCCAAUGCCAUGCUGGCCCCUUAAGUUUUUUUGGGGGGGGGGGGUAUUUGAUGGCAUGUAAGUCAUCACCGCAUGCCAUGUGGAUGUGGAGAAGAAAAUCUUCAAUCCAUACUGCGGGAUCUGUUGUGCCAUCGUAUGAUUCAAUGUUCACGGGUUUAAACCCUUCUGGGAACUGGUGCUCCAUUACCUCAUCGGUGAAGCAUAGGGGGUGUGCGGCGCCUCUCUAUUGGGCAGCGUCACGACGUAGUUCGGAUGGAGUCCGUAUAUGUUUUUCGGCCUGAGUGAGGUUGUGCUUGUCGCGCCAGGCCUGAUGGCCAUCUUCUCGCGCUGGGGCACGCCCCCUUGAUCCAUAGAUUGAUAUGGUGUGACUGGCUCUAUUGUCAAGGUCCUAUCAUAGGUCGUAUGUGUAUCCUGCAGCUAUUGUCUCUCUGCCUCUAAGGCGAGGUGGUGCGGCCUGGUGUUCGGCUUGAGUUGCAGCUCUGUCCCGGCCACGAGGUGGUCGGUCAGGUCCGUCCGCUGUGUUACAUGCUGUCGGUAUAGAUCCUAGGACCUCAUCCUCGAAUUGGGAUAGAAACCUGCGCUUUUGGUAACUCUUAGUUGGACGCUCAAGUUCGUAUUCCUCAGCUGCCAGGACAUUAGUCCAUCUGUUGUUGAGUAAAUCCUAAUCAGCUAGUUGCUGCUUCUUUUUCAGGCUUCUUGCAGUGGCUAUUAGCUGGCGCUUAAAGCGCUCUUGUUCGAGGGGUUCCUCUGGCAUGAUGAAAUCUUCGUCACCGAGGCUCUCGUCCUCUUCGGAGAUCGGUAGGUAGUUACUAUCCUCCGAGCCCUCAUUCCCGAUAGGAUCGUCGGGGUUGACUUGCCCUUCUUCCCAAUCACCCAGUUCGGAUGUUGGCUCGACAGGGGCUUCCUGGUCUUUGGCAUUCUCCGGAGUAUUAUUGUCUCCGGUGCCGAUAUUGCUGUCUUUUUCGUGACGUGAUUUUGAGCGGCGUCGCUGACAUCGACGCUUUGGUGGUGCCUCAGAAGGCUUGCCCUUUAUGGGACCCUUCCCACCAUCGCCGUCAUCCUCUUUGGGUGUGUCCACCAUGUACACAUCAUAUGUGGAAGUGGCCGUCCAGCGUCCGGUGAACGACGGGUUCUGGCUUUGCUCCUCUUCGGCAUCGUCGUCCAUGUCAUCGAUGCCUUCGGAGGCGUAGUCGAGCAUGUCGGUCAAGUCUUCGGCAGUGGCUAUGAAGCGGGUGGUGGGUGGGAUGUAAAAUUCCCUGCCCUCAGCCCCUAGUGUGGGCUGGGCGUAGUUUGGCAGCGAUUCCUCUACAAUGGCGAGGGAUCGCAUUAAUUCCAGAGCCUCGUUUAAGAGUGAGGUUUGGACAAGGAAGCGAGAGUCCAUGGAGCAGGGCGGGAUAGAAGUUCCCUAGCCAAGCUCAUAUGACACGGAUCUCGAGAGUUCGGAGCUAGUGUCCGGAGGCGAGUCCGGCUUUCUGAGGGUAGAGGGGGCCUAGCAUGGCUCCAGGCAUGUCGGUGAUGUGAUCUCCUCUGGUUCUUCGGUGCCAAGCUCUGUAGCUGCAGAGAGUCCGGCGGGAUUUAAACGCCCGCCUUCGUACCUAGUGAUGUGCUCCGGAUCUAAGGCCAGAGCUGAGGCUGGGGCCGCGAAGCCUUGGAAGAUCAAGUCUCCUCAGAUAUCAGCGACAUAGUUUAGAUUUCCAAAGCGGAUCUGAUGACCAGGGGCAUAGCUGUCGAUCUACUCCAGAUGGCCAACCGAGUUGGUGCGUAGUGCGAAGCCGCCAAAUACGAAAAUUUGGCCGGGGAGAAAAGUCUCCCUUAAGGCGAUAUUCUUGUAGAUGAUCAAUGGAGCCAUCAAGCCUUCUAGCGAUGACACAGCGGAACUCUCAAUGAAAGCACCAAUUUCGGUGUCAAAACUGGCAGAUCUCGGGUAGGGGGUCCCGAACUAUGCAUCUAAGGAUCAAGGGUAACAGGAGGUAGGGGACAUGAUGUUUACCCAGGUUCAGGCCCUCUUAAUGGCGGUAAUACCCUACUUCCUGCUUGAUUGACUUUGAUGAGUACAGGGGUUACAAGAGUUGAUCUACCUCGAGAUCGUAACGGCUAAACCCUAGAUGUCUAGCCUGUAUGAUUGUGAUUGCCCCUAUGGACUAACCCUUCGAUUUAUAUAGACACCGGAGGGACCUAGGGUUGUAUAGAGUCGGUUUAUAGAGAAAGGAAGAUGCAUGAUCCGAACGCCAAGCUUUCCAUCCAUGCAAAGGAGAGUCCCAUCCGGACACGGGGGAAGGUCUUUGAUCUCAUAUCGUCAUGGCCCAUCAGUCCGGCCCGUAUCACAUAGCCCGGAUGCCCGAGGACCCCCUAGUCUAGGACUCCCUCAACGGACGUUGUGUUUAAAGGCCGCUAAGGCUUUGGCAUCUGGAAAGUCGACUAUUUGGUUCUUUUUGAUUAGGAACCGAGUCCAGAGUUGGCGGGCUGACUCUCCGGGUUGCUGGACUAUGUGACUAAGGUCAUCGGCAUCCGGUGGCCGGACAUAGGUACCUUAGAAGUUGUCUUGAAAAGCAUCCUCCAAAUCUUCCCAGCUGCCAAUAGAGUUAUGUGGGAGGCUAUUUAACUAGUGUUCUGCUGGUCCCUUUAGCUUUAGGAGGAGGUAUUUGAUGGCGUGGAGAUCGUCACCGUGAGCCAUGUGAAUAUGGAGAAGGAAAUCUUCAAUCCAUAUAGUGGGAUCUGUCGUUCCAUCAUAUGCUUCAGUGUUUAUGGGUUUAAACCCUUUGGGAAAUUGGUGCUACAUUAACUUAUUGGUAAAGCACAAGGGGUGUGCGGCGCCUCUGCAUCGGGCGAUGUCACGACGGAGUUCGGAUGACAUCCAUGUUCGGUUUUCGGCCUGAGUUUGGUUAUGCUUAUCGCGCCAAGCUUGAUGGCUGUCGUCUUGUGUUGGAGCAUGUCCCCUUGAUCCGUAGAUUGAUCUAGUCUGACCGGCUCUAUUGUCCAUGUCCUGACGUAAGCCGUAAGUAUAUCCCGAAGCUGCUAUUUCUUUGCCUCGACGGUGAGGUGGCGCGGGCUGGUGUUUGGUGUAGGUAGCCGCUCUGUCCCGUCCACGUGGUGGUCGGUCUGGUUCAUCAGCAGGAUUAUAUCUUAACGGUAUUGGCUCAAGGGUCUCGUCGUCGAAUUGUGGUAGCAUCUGAUGCUUCGGAUAACUCUUUGUUGGGUGCUCGAGGCCGUAUUCUUCGGCAGCCAGGACCUUGGUUCAUCUGUCAUUGAGUGUAUCCUGUUCGGCUUGAAGCUGUUGCUGUUUCUUUCUAAGGCUCCGCGCAGUGGCGAUUAACCGUCGCUUGAAGCGCUCUUGCUCGAGGGGUUCCUCUGGCAUGAUGAAAUCUUCAUUGCCGAGGCUGACAUCCUCUUCGGAGACCAGUAGGUAGUUACUAUCUUCCGAAUCCUCAUUCUUGAUAGGUUCGUCAUGGUUAACUUGUCCCUCCUCCCAUUCAUCCUAUUCGACUACAGGCUCUGCGGGGUCUUCAGGAUCUUCGGCGUGAUCCGGAGUGUUAUUAUCUUCGGUGCCGGCAUUGCUGUCUUUUUCCCGAUGCGAUCGUGGGUGGCGUCGCUGUCAUCGAUGCUUUAGUGGCACCUCGACUGGUUUAUCCUUGAUCGGGUCUUGCCUGUCGUCAUCCUCUUUAGGUGUAUCUACCAUGUGCAUGUUACAUGUGGAGGUGGCCGUCCAAUGCCCAGUGAUAGGCGGAUUUUGUCCUUGGUCGGCUACGGUAUCGUCGUCCAUAUCGUCAAUGUCUUCAGAGGCAUAGUCUAGCAUGUCGGUUAAGUCCUCAACAGUGGCUACCAAGUGGGUGGUGGGUGGUACGCAAAAUUCCCCGCACUCAGUUCCUAGUUCGGGCUGGGCGUAGUUCAGAAGCGAUACUUAGGUGAUAGCGAGGGAUUGCAUCAAGUCCAAAGCUUCACUUAGAAGUGAAAACUAGGCGGGUGGCUGAGGAUCUGUGGAGCUGGGCCUGAUGAACGCAGCUUGGCCACGCCCAAUGGAUGCUGACCUCAAGAGUUCGGGGUUAAGAUUCGGACGUGAGUUUGGAUUUCUGUUGAUAGGGAGAACCCUAUUUGAGUUCAGGUCCGCCGAUAAUAUGGCCGCCUCUGGGUCUCCAGCAAGGAGCUCCGCAGUGGGAGAAGGUCUGGCAGGGAUAAAACUCCCAUCUUCGGACAAGGCGGUCUGCUCUGGAUCUAGGGUCUGGGCAGGAACGAUAGUUGAUCCUUGAAUGGUGCCUGAUGGUGGAUCCGACGGGGUUCCCUCUAGCAGAUGAGGAAUAGCGGUCGAGGCCGUGAACCCUUCGAAGAUCAAGUUUCUUCGGAUAUCGGCGACAUAGUUCAGGCUUCCAAAUGUGAUCUGGCGACCAGGGGCGUAUCUGUCAAUCUAUUCAAGGUGACGAGUUGAAUUGGCAUGCAGAACAAAGCUGCCAAACACAAAAAGUUGACCAGGGAGGAAAGUUUCCCCGGAAAUAGUAUCGUGGUUGAUGAUCGAACAAGCCAUUGAACCUUCUAUCGACGACACAACGGAACUCUCAAUGAAAGCACCAAUGUCUGUGUCAAAACCGGCCGAUCUCGGGUAGGGGGUCCUGAACUAUGCGUCUGAGGAUUGAAGGUAACAAGGGACAAAGGAGACACGAUGUUUACCCAGGUUUGGGCCCUCUUAAUGGAGGUAAAACCCUACGUCCUGCUUGAUUGUCUUUGAUGAGCAUAGGGGUUACAAGAGUUGAUCUACCUCGAGAUCAUAAUGGCUAAAUCCUAGCCGUCUAGCCUAUGUGAAUCAAGAUAUCCUCUACGGACUAAGCCCUCCGAUUUAUAUACACACCGGGGGGGCCUAGGGUUGUGCAGAGUCGGCUUGUAGAGGAAGGAAAUUACAUAUCCAGACACCUAAUCUUGCCAUCCACGCAUAGGAGAGUCCUAUUCGGACACGGGGAAAGGUCUUCUGCCUUGUCCUUUUACGGCCCAUUAGUUCGACCCAUAUCACAUAGCCCGGACACCCGAGGACCCCCUAAUCUAGGACUCCUUCAGCGAUAGAAGCGGGAGAGUCCAAUGAGCUGCAGUAUAAGUGGAAGCGAGGAGGAAGGAUGGUUUUUCUGGGAUCACCCCCUCUUUAAGAAAUAUGGGCUUUUCCUCACAAAAAAACAAAUGGGCUUCAAGAUGGAUAGGCUUUUGUAUGGCCUAGUCGGCUGCCCGUGUUCCAUAUUGGAGGCCCUUAACACUAGAGGCAGCCCAUUAGAGACACUCUCUAGCUUAUUUCCCAUUUGAAAGAAAAAGAAGAGAUGACUCUAUCUUAAUUAUGGCUCCUCAUCGAUAACAUUUUUCAACUUAAAAAAAGUUAUAGCUCCUUUUUGGGCUGGCUUGGCAUCUACCAAAUUAGAGGAUGGUGUACUACAUGCAGACACUCACACUGGUCAUAGUGCGGCAAAAUGAGGUGUCAAAUAACAUGCCCACAAUAUACAUAGAUUGUAAAGGUUGACACGCUAACAUUCAAACUAAGCUUCACAAGAUACGGUAUGCAUACUAGAUAACAUUCACAAGCACUUAAGUUCAGCAUGUUUACGCAUCUAAAUGAUUCAUAAGACUAUAACCAAGACAAAGCUGUGAGAAGGUGUAGAAAUAAAGAAAAAAUGAUCGAUGCUUCUCUGAGCAAAGGGCCUCCCUACGCACGCAUUAAUUUCCUGGGCAUGCUUCUUUCCACUCAAUGUUGCGUGCACUUUGAGCAUGUUGGCAACACCACAGCUAGUUUGAUGGCUCAUCUUGCAAUUUACACUGACACAUUGCAGCAAAAAGAGGAGGCAAUAGAGAUCACUCAACAUCAGGCCAUUUUGUGCAGUUCCACUAAAAUCAUCUUCAUUGUCCUGAAUGUGAAAAGAUAGGAAAGUGAUGUACUUAAACGGUGUCGCAAAACAGUAGCACAUAUCAAUAGCUCGGCAUGACAAAACACAAUCAUCUGGAUGAAGGGGAUACUGACCUGCGUGAGGAAGAUUAUGCAUAACUUUAUAGGUGGUUAGUUGAUUUCCACCUUGGGAUCUCCUAUGAUGGCACGGAGGAGGAAAUUCCAUCCAAUCGAUGAGCAUAAUUCCUUCCGUGUGGCUGUAGAAAAUUUGUCCGACUAACCCCAAUAUCACCGCCGUUUGCACGACCCCGACUCGCCGGCCAGGCCAUCAAUGACUCGGUCCCUUUUAUCUUGCGUUGACAGCAUGGCUGAAGUGCUUGUUUGCUCCUCCACACAUGACAGGCUCGUUCCACACUACAAACAUCAAUUCAGCGUACGAAUAAUCUUAUUUCAUCUUGCGUUAGUCAUUCUACCUAGUUAUGAAUGUAGGAAUACCUAGAACACCGUGAGGCCAGCUGACAGCAAGUUCCACUAAAAUUGAGGUUUGUGCUUCCAUUUGCACAAAUAGACACCAUAUGGAGAUAAACAACCCUGUUUGCACAAAUAUGUAACAGGGUUAUAUAAGUAGUGUCACUUUUUUGCAGUGGCAUAUGAUUAAUAGCAGCAUCUCAUAUGUUAUCAAUGGCAUUACAGUGACAGUAUGAAAAAGUGCCAUUAACUAAGAAGUGCCAUCACAUCAAAUCAACACUGGCACUAGAUUAACGGGGGCUUACAUUAACAUGCAUAACAAUUGCAUUAUGACUAUGUGAUGAUAGAUUAGGAGUAGCACUUGAUUAGUACGUAUGUGCAUGGGUAACGGGAACGAUCGUUCUAACGAAGGGACGGAAAGGACAAACACAUCGUCGUGUCAACCAUUGUGCAAUUAAAUUUUGUGCAGUUCAAUGGAGAUGCAACUAUUUUACCGAUGUCAUACUUUAGUGUAACGGCCCAAAACACUCUUUACGAGAAAUAAAGCAAGACAAAAGAAUUUCAUAAAACGGUGGUGGCAUUGAUUCAUUUUAUCAAUGGCAAUAGAUUGACAGCAGCAUUACUUAACAGCGACAUCACAUUAACAAUGGCAUUGUUUCAUUGUACCUGUGAUGCUAGAUUAACAAUAGCGUAAGGGCAUAGGGACAGGGGAGGCACAAGCAUGUUUUACAUCCACUGAGGCAUAAAGUGGUGAGGCAGAGGUGUUGCCGAGUGUGGCAAACAUGCAAAGGAUGUCUGGAUUUGUGCAUUUUUUGUUCUCGUCAGUGACCUUUCCUAUGUGACCACAAGAAAUCUAGACGUGCUCNNNNNNNNNNNNNNNNNNNNNNNNNNNNNNNNNNNNNNNNNNNNNNNNNNNNNNNNNNNNNNNNNNNNNNNNNNNNNNNNNNNNNNNNNNNNNNNNNNNNNNNNNNNNNNNNNNNNNNNNNNNNNNNNNNNNNNNNNNNNNNNNNNNNNNNNNNNNNNNNNNNNNNNNNNNNNNNNNNNNNNNNNNNNNNNNNNNNNNNNNNNNNNNNNNNNNNNNNNNNNNNNNNNNNNNNNNNNNNNNNNNNNNNNNNNNNNNNNNNNNNNNNNNNNNNNNNNNNNNNNNNNNNNNNNNNNNNNNNNNNNNNNNNNNNNNNNNNNNNNNNNNNNNUGUCCUUUUUAGACCAAGAGACCGGUCAGGCCAACAUCUUUAUUUCCCUUUCCAACCAAGAGAUUGGUUCAUUAGCCAGCAUCUGCAGUACCUUUUUUCCUCUAAUAGUAAAACUUUAGGUGGUGUUCAAGUGUUUGACAAGCCGACGAAGCUAUCUACAUGGAGAGCUUUGUAAUACUAGAAGAAUAUCCACAUGCAAGAUGCAACGACGUGGGGAGCAAUCCUAACUUGAUGAAAAAAGGGAUGCAACAACGUGGGGAGUGUCGGUGUCAAAACCGGCGGAUCUCGGGUAGGGGGUCCCAAGCUGUGCGUCUUAGGAUCGAUGGUAACAUGAACACGGGAUUUUACCCAGCUUCGGGCUCUCUUGAUGAGAUAAUACCCUACAUGCUGCUUGAUUGACUAUAAUGAGUAUAGGGGUUACAAGAGUUGAUCUACCUCGAGAUCAUAUGUUGUGGUCUAAACCUUAGAGGUAUGAUGAGUAAUGUCAUAAUCAUCUAUCGACUAGCCUGGCCUUGGUUUAUAGAAUGUACCAUAGGCCUAGGGGAACAAGAGUCCUAGCCGAAUACGCCGGUGGGGGAGGAGUCCUUGUCUUGAUCACCAAGUCUUGUGGAAUCUUCCUUGUAUGCGGCAACUGUCCGAACUGGCCCAUGAGUAUACAACCAUGGGGGUCCUCGGCCCAAUCUAACUGACCGGGGGACGAUGUGGUGAGUACCCCCUAGUCCAGGACACCGUCAGUAGCCCCCUGAACCGGUCUUCAAGUUGGGGACGCUCCUCGAUUCUGCCGAACUAUUCUUCAUCUUUAGUCGUCGGUCUUGAAAACUGGUUCAACAAAUCUUCUCAUCUCUGAUCUUGAGGAUCGCGAAGUAAAUCCGAAGGGUUUAUAUGUCGGGUAUCCGAGGAGCCCUUUAAGUUUCUGGCCUGUAUCAAUGCCUUGUUAUUAUUAUGCCACACCUCAGGUUUGAAGUUAUUCCCGGGCGGCAGUGUCCUCUUGCGUCCGAGCUCCAAUGCCGGAUUGCGUUUGAGGUAUCUUUUGCAGCCAAGCACCAACGCCAGACUGCUUCCGAGCUCCAACGCCAGAAUGUAUCCAAGCUCUAACGCCGGACUGUGUCCAAGCUCCAACACCGGGCUGUAUCCGAGCUCCAACGUCGGACUAUACCCGAGAUGUCAUAGGUCAUCUGGGUUCAAAAAGUUGAAGGAGUUUAGCCGAGCUUAAUGCCGGAAAUGGCCUCUAUGGAGCCAGCCACUGGCGCUCGAGCUUAAUGCCGGACUACUUCCGAGGUGGUGCACCACCCCUGACUGCGGGCUGAUUUUUUGAUUGGUGCGAUUUAUUCUCUGCGGAGAUAUAUAGCCAGUAGCGCUCAAGGUGUGUGCGUCGGUCUAAAACCCAAGAUGCACCUGAAGGAAAACAUGAAACCGUUGAUCCUAGUUGCCCCUGAGACUCAGGUCGAUGCGCGAAAUUGGCCUGAGGAUCAACUCCUAGCUCAGCAGCAUACAUAGGAAUAGAAACCCGGUGUGCAAAGUCAUCGAGACUCAGGUUGGGUGCGGCCGACCAACCUGAGGAUAAUAAUCUCCUCGAAAACUAUAUUGCACUUUAAAUUUUCUGCGGACAAGCAAUGCAGUAGCCCCCGAGACACUGGUCGGGUGGCGACACCAGAGUAGGGGAUCGAUGUACCCCUUUAAUAUUUGUAAAUAAUAAGCACGAAGCCCAGUAGCCCCCGAGCCUUAAUGUGGGAACGGGUGGCCGAAUUAAGGAUCGAUGUCCAAAGUAAAAUCACAAAUUAUGUGUAAUGAUUCUAUGUAUCCAAGUACUUUACAUCAUCAAUGCUCGGAUCCGCAUUGUACAAAACUUUGUUGACCGGCCAUCGGCUUUAACCUCCUCGGCCAGUAGCCGGGGAGUGUUUGUCCCACUUUAUAAAGCCUUUAUGAGGGCAAAGAUUUGUGGCAAACAAGGCAAUCCGGCCAUACGGUUUUAUAAACAAAGGUACGCAGAGAGACAUGUUAUUAUUGUUUAACAUAAGAAACAUCGUCCAAAGAAAAUAGUCCCGCUAUCGGUUCCUUUCUUUGGGUUGUCAUGCUAAGCAUGAUCAUGAAACCUCAGCUCCAAUCAAUGUGGGAGGAAAAUACUGAGGAUUUAGUUCGGGAAAAGCUUCCAAACUCUGUGGUCUAGAUAAACCCAAAUUUUCACUUCCAUUGUGACCGUUUAUAAUCUGAAAGUGGCCCAUUGUCGGCUUCUACCCCCUUGUAGAUGCUACGCAGGGUGUUUCCGAAAUAACAAAACAACCCUUAGCCAACAUCUCGGUGCCCGAUGGCGGUUGUGUUGGCGAAAACGAGGCAAUAAGAUAUGUAGGCUUUAUGACUUUCACUUAGUCAUAGGAGAUUAAAGUUGGGAGGCCAGGAAGUAGCCCCCCGCUUAGUGUUCGGCGAUAGCCUAGGUCAAGCCGUAAACACUUCGGCCAAUGUUAUGAAUGGCCCGUCAUUUAAUAUAGUCAUCCGAUCGCUGACUGGUUUAUGCUUUAUUAUGACAAUCAGUUUUCGGCUUUCUCCACCGAGGUGCUUAACCAUGCGAGCUGGAAGCACAAUCGUAGUGGUUCUCCUUUUGCACACUUAACCGAACAAAGCGGAAUGUAGGAGGCAAGCACAGGAGCCGGGCAACCCAACUAUCGACCGAAGACACAAUUUGAAACCGAUGCAUAUAUAGCAAUAUCCGAGAAUUUUUGCUGAAUCUCUAAAGGUGUCCGGCGUUGCACUGCGAGACUUAUGCGAAAAACACACAAAUAGUUGAAAAGUGCCAUAGGAUUGGAAAACUAAAAAACGUCAGUAAAAACUCAACGUCCGAACUAGAUUAAUUGUUCGGUGCCAAUCAGAAAAUUGGUCUUAGAGAAAAAAUUGUGCUUCUGUCGUGCUUUAACAUGACACAUCCUAUCUCAAGACUUCAAGCGGGUCAGCCUACGGCUUCAACCUCCUAUCCUGAAGGUGGAUGAGAGGGAAAUCAGGCUAUUGACCACACACUUGCGUCGAAAAAAGGAGUGAUAGAAAAAAACUUUGCAACGACUAGGAAGAAGAACACUUAUUAUAAAACAGCUCAUAUAAAUUUAAGAGCCCCAGAGUGACUUGGGUAAAAGAAUUUUAUGUAUAAUGGUUGUAUGUACCGAAGUACUUAUAUCAUAUAUGUGUUCACCCGAACUUUGAACGCGUCUUAACUGACCGCCGGCUUCUCCCUCUUCGGCCAAGGGCCGAAAAGUGUUAUGUACUCCAUCUGUCGAGAAUAUCGACGGUGUUUCCGAUAACCAGGCAAUCAGGCUAUAAGGCUGUAACAGACAAAGUGCGCUCAGGGAACUUAUGCUAUAUUACUAACGAAGUGUAAGAAGCAUCUUCGAAGAAAAUAGUACCCCCCGAUACCUUUCUUUGGUUGCUCAUUGUUAUUAUGAGACUUGUGCAAUAGAUUUUUUGUACUCAUGAGUUCCGCUGUGUGCCAACCAUGAUUGAAAACAAUAAGAGCGCUAGCUUUCGGCUUCACCCAGUUUGAGGUCAGAGCUCGGAAGAACCGGUCGUGACAAUCGCAGAGAUGCUCCCUUUACUCCCUAGCCAAACAAUCGGGUACGUAGGGUAAGCACAGGAGCCAGGUAACCCAGCUCGCAAAUCACUUAGGUCAAUAUGGUGCAUAUUGUGGCGUAAUACACAAACAAGGAACGAAGCCGUACAAGUACAAUCAUAUGCAAGAGGAAAAGCUCCAGCAAGGGAGCCCCCAAUUAAAUGGGGUAUUUGAAUAUGUGUGUCACAAACAAAGUUAUGACAAGGAGUUUUUUUGCAAACAUUUUUUUGCCAAAAAAGUUAUAAUGCUUGGUCGAGCCGAACAAAAAUUUAAACUGGAAGUUUUUGAGCAUAAGAGCGACUUAGCUGGUUAAUGUGUUCGACAUUGAUGACGCGGUCCGAGCUUGAUGCGGGACAAGGUUCCAGCCUCUCAGGCUGGUCCCCAGGUGGCCGAGCCGAGAGUUCGGCACUCCAAGAAGAUGAGGCCCUCAGUCCAGCCGCGGUAAUGGAGCAGGUCGGCGCGCCAAGGCGACAACACAAUUCGGUUGAAGGAGGCGACAGCACGGCUCAGUCUGAGUCAAUUGGCUGCAUAGAAAAAAUAGUGCAAACCAAAAAGUAAUGACAAAUAAAGAUAAUAAUAUAUAUAUAUAUAUAAAUUCUUCUACUUGUUUAAUACAAGUGAAGUAAAUAAUGAGAGAGAUAUGGUCUGAGCGUCGAGGUCAAUGUCGAUGCAGGGCGUGAUGUGGUAAAGGCGUGGCAAAGCCCGAAUUCACAGGUCGGUCCAAGUUCCAGAUACGGCGUUCGCCGAACUAUGUACGGAAACUGACCGAACCAUCACGCGACCAUCGUUAAUGCGGCCACCAUUUGAUAGGCAUGUGAAUAGAUGAUGGAACAAAGCAGAGUAAUAAUUCCUUGGGAAAAAUAAACCCAAACAAGCAAAAAUUGCUGGGAUUAAUAGCACCUGGUUUAUUUGUUAUAGCGGUCCGAAGAAAGGUUACUCCCAAAAUUGGGACUCAAUCCGCACACCCAUUGCCUAAUGGGUGAUGAAGCGAAGGCAUGACGAUGCUGGCAAAGGCUGGCUCGCCGAGGCAAGCCCGUGGUCCAGCUAAUGUAAUGAAGUUGGUCGGCCGGUGACGCCGGAGUCUCCGAGGUAAGUUGAUGAAGGGAUGACGAAGCCCUCAGUCCAGGCGAGGAGACAGAGCAGGUCAGUGAGGAGAUGUGUCAGCCGAGGUGUUGAAGUAGUUCAGCGUGAUAGACAUCGGCUCGAUGAAGCAAUAGUUCGGCCAUGCCGAUGUAGGUCGUAGCUUGUGACGUGAUCAAUGCUGGCUUGAAGAAAUGACCGUGCGGCAAUGCCGGUGUGCCCGCUCCGUGUAAUCCGUGGGGCGGCGAUGUUGGUGAUGAUUUAUCCUUCGCAAUGCCAAACUAUUGUUCGGCCGGCCGAGAUGACGAUCCGAAGAAGUUGAGCUUGGCUUAACAAAGCGACGACGUGUCUAGCGCAGGUCGGCCGCCGUGGAGUGAUGUUGUCGGGCUUGUUUGACACCGGCGCGAUGGUGAAGAUCGUAUUGUAAAAAUACUUUUAAUAAUAAUGGGAUGUGUUUGAGAAUAAAACACAAUACCCCAUACGAAAACGUCCUUCAAAAAGGAUGUCCGAAAUCUCGUUCGUAAAGAAGAUGAACUUGGGUCGGAUUCGUUCUCGCGCAGAAAACAGAUCCUAAAAGUGGUGCACUAAUCGGAAGGUUCCCGGAGUUUGGACGGUCGGGUCGAGAUGAUUUUUUGGCAGGUGGUAGAUAUGGGAAUUCCACAGCCGAUCAACAGUUGGAUCUUCCAAAGGACGUCCGAGCUAGAUGCUGGACACCCCGCUCCAAACUCGUCCGGAUUCUCGUCCAGAUUCAACAGGGCUCCGGUAUAUCGGAGAUUGCCGGAGAUUCCUCCAUCGGAACUCAACGAAAUUUUUGCAGGGUUGUUGUAGACUUAAUUCUGCAUAAUUCCACCGAUGCAAUCAUCUAGGCGACACUCGAGGAGGCGAUGACGGCGGAUACGAUUUUGCUGUCCAGAAAAACAGCACGGUCGCCCGAGGGCAAUGUUCACGUUGAGCCCCCGAGCUCCAUGAAUGACUCCUCCAUGAUCUUGAUAGAGAUUGGAGUUGAUGUUAAUGAAAGCCCUCAUCCGAACAUGACGAUCGGAGGUAGGGCGCAACCCUCGGUCAAGCCAAGGUGACCAGUCGACCUGGUGAUGAAGAAACCGACGUCGCAGUUGACCUGCAGUCGAGCCAUUGAUCCUUUCACUGAUCACACGGCGGAACUCUCAAUGAAAGCACCAAUGUCGGUGUCAAAACCGGCGGAUCUCGGGUAGGGGGUCCCAAGAUGUGCAUCUUAGGAUCGAUGGUAACAUGAACACGGGAUUUUACCCAGCUUCGGGCUCUCUUGAUGAGAUAAUAACCUACAUGCUACUUGAUUGACUAUAAUGAGUAUAGGGGUUACAAGAGUUGAUCUACCCCGAGAUCAUAUGUUGUGGUCUAAACCCUAGAGGUAUGAUGAGUAAUGUCAUAAUCAUCUAUCGACUAGCCUGGCCUUGGUUUAUAUAAUGUACCAUAGGCCUAGGGUAACAAGAGUCCUAGCCGAAUACGCCGGUGGGGGAGGAGUCCUUGUCUUGAUCACCAAGUCUUGUGGAAUCUUCCUUCUAUGCGGCAACUGUCCGAACUGGCCCAUGAGUAUACGACCAUGGGGGUCCUUGGCCCAAUCUAACUGAUCGGGGGACGACGUGGUGAGUACCCCCUAGUCUAGGACACCGUCAGGGAGCUGGGCCAUUAGAACAAGGCCAGUUCUAAAAAAGGUUAUACCUCCGGUCAACGGGAUGUGGCGAGGCAGGCGACGGGAUCUGCCAACUCGACAGUGGGGAGCAAGGGUGAGGAGGACCUCUCCCACACCGACGCCAGGUCAGAGAAGACGGCGCGCGUCGGCUUCCUCCCCCUUCACCGGCGACCACCAGCAGAAGGUAUCCGGCCGGAUCUGUGUCAACCAGAGAGAAGAGAGAGAGAGACAAAGAGAGUGGACACCACGGUCUUGUUUAGAUCUAGAGAGGGUGAGAGAGUGACAAGAAGAGAACAACCCUAGCAAGCAAGUUUCGAAGUGGACUAGUGGAGUAGCAAUUGUUUUUCCCUCCAUAGCGAUCAUUUUAAAUUGAAUACGCGCGCAACCAUAUAUUUUUCAUUUAACGUACCAGUAAAAAGAUACUCGAUCAAUAACCGUGCUACCGCGUUCAGGUCGCACUUGGUAUGGCUGACAUUUGGUCCCAGACCCCACAUUAAGUGGACGACUAGAUGUCUCAAAUUGUCACAUUACCUGCCUUUUCGUGUGCAAAGGCGCUCCAUCGUGAGUGUACCCGGGCGUGUGCGUGAGGGGAGAGUGAAGUCCGAUUUAUAAACCUUGAGGUUGUAGAGCUAGUUGGAAACAAACCCUCACCUUCAAAUCCUUGAAGUUUGUACCAUGUCCUUUGUAAUCCCGGUCAUUUUUAACCUUAAGGGCAUGUGCGGUUCAAGGGGUUUUAAUGGGGAUUAACAGGGAUUGUGGGGGAUUAAGUCAUGUACAAGACAAAUUCCCCUCCAUUCCUCUCCAAACCCCUUGGGAGGAGGUUGAACCGAACAAGGCCUAAGACUAACCACAGUGGGAGUAACUUAAUUCCAUACAGUAUCAUAAUAUGAUACUCAACCCUCUCUUUCUUCAUUUAAUUCUAUGCCACCUCAUCAAAUUUGCCUAGUUGGCAUGCAUGAUACUACUUAUGAUACUCCCAUUACAACCAUCCUGGUAGAAUUAAUAUACCUAAUCUAAAUGGUCUCCGCCCGAUCUCUUUGUCCUUCUCCAGCAUCUAGCUGAAGAAGAAUCAUGCAAGACGCCGACUGUUUUUGCCGGCGUCGCCUCGGCGGUGGCCUUCAUGGGAUACAAUCGGCGGCGGACUCCAGUGUUCUACUUCUCCUCGAUGAUGGCGGCGGGCGGGGACAUGCUGACCGUCACCUCGUCAACAUCCGUGGUGGCUUCUUUCUAUGCCUGCAUGGCGCGGAUACACGAGCAUCGACGGCAGAUGGCGCAGUCAUAGGCACUGGAGGCGUUGUACGACGCGGCGACGUUGAGGGCAACGAUGAUGCCCGUGCCGCUUAGUUCGGCAACUGCCUCCGACGGGCUAGGCGAGGUAGGUGGAGCAGCGAUCUGCCUAGCUUGUAACUGCCAGGCUAGGCGGGCCACCCAGACAAGUUUAUGCCGGAGAACUGCUCUUCCCGCUCGUCGGAUGCCGCCGAAAGAGUGGAGAAAAUGGUGGAAGAAGGAGCUUGGCUAGCAUCCUGCUCCUGAAUGGAUGUGUGUGGCUGGAGUGGGUUUCUCGCAUUCCAUGCGGGUUUAAAUGUAGGUUUUUGAAUGCGGUGAGGAGCCGGGAACAGCUGGGAGUGCAGUGGGCGGCGCCCUCGACCGGCGUGCCGCUUCAAAUGGCGGAUGCAGUGAGGGGUCAUGUCCGCCCUGACCCCCUUGACCGUGGACCUUGACCGUGUAUGUCCGACCUUGAGGACAACAUUAUCCUUGGACCUUGACGGUGUACACCUUGUAUCCAGAUCUGAGAUGCCACGUGUACCAGAUGAAUGACUCCAAGUUCGACGACCGUGAUGCUUAGAGCAAGUACAAUAGAGCUGAGUCAGUUGGCUAUAAGAAAUAAACUAGUCUAUUCUUUCUUAGUUGGAGGAAAGAGAAGAGGAGAGAUAAGGUAGGCGGGCUCUUGGUGAAGAGCCAGCUCUAGCACGUGCUCCUAGGCACUUUGUGAGAGUGAAAGGUGGGCCAUAUAAUAAAAAAAGCAGUACACUCUUCUAAUCAACUAUUGUACAUAUUGGCUAUAAGAUGGGCUAUAGAUGACAUGGCAAUGGCUUAUAGCCAGCAGUUGGCUAUACUAUUAACCAUGCUCUUAGGUGCGAGCCGAGGAACACUGUUGGAGAGACCCCCUUCAUAAUUUUCCUACAUUGGUCGUUUGAUUCAUAGGAUAGAAUGCUAUAGGAUUUUUUCCCUAUGAAAUCAUGUGUUAAUUGGCAAUCUAGCAUCCACUCCAAAUUUUUUUCACUUCCUUUGUUUUUCCUGUGUCAAACACUCUGGAUUUUUUAGGGGAACACUGCGUUAAUGCUAUGGGAUUCAAGUGGACAUGCCACUCCAAUCCUUUAUUUUUCCUAUUCAUGUGUUUUAAGUUCCUAGGAAGAGAGUACUUGCUCUAAAUGAUGUGUCGCUGCAAGAGCCGCCUAUAUUAAUUAACCAUGCUCUAAAAAGGUGGACCGGAUUUGGCUAUAGUAGAUACUGUACUAGGUUAGUACCUGAGCUUGUGCUUGGCUCUUCGCCUCUUCCCGAAGUCAAACAAUAAUGAUGGUACUACAGUAGUACUUCUGGCAAUCUGACACCAAAUAAACUACUGCACGUCCACCAGUUUUAAGCAAAAGUUUCUCCUCGUGCUACGAGCCACUGCACACACGUGGGCGACAGAGAAUGUGUAGUAAGCAAGCUUCUUGUUGUUCUGCGAGUUGACGGGACACAUCAAAGUUAUUUAGUACUCUCUCCAUAAAGGGUCGACCAUGUCCAUGGCUACCAUCCGUGCUCCAUCAUUGAGUACGUGCACUAUUCACGUGCCAUCGAGGAGCAAAAAUAUUGCGUAGUACAUGCCAUCGAAGUGCACGACUCACUUACGCACUACUUAUCUCUAUUUUCUUGCAUGACACACGCACCUUGAUGCUAGAUGUCCCGUGUGUUGGAAAAGGAUGAGCAAAGCUCACGUCAAGAAGGAACAUGAAUAAGUCUUGCUUGCUGUAGAUAUGUACAUGGCAGGACAUGGUGUCCAAUCACCAUUUAGUUACUAAUUUUGUGUUACUAAAGAAAACACGUGGUUCAUUUCUAAAUUAAACUAGUCAAAACCAGCAUGGAGGUAAUCAUUCACCUUAUUGUACUUGCUCUGAGCGAGGGAGAGGUCAUACUAGUAAGCAAAGCUUCUCCUCAUUUGUGAGUUGACGGGACACAUCAAAAGUAGUGUAUUAGUCUCCAAAAAGGGCUGACCAUGUCCAUGGAUACCAUCUCGUGCUCCGUCAUUUAGUGCGUGCACGAUUUCACGUUCCAUUGAGAAAAUAAUGUUGCGUACGUGCCAUCGAAUAGAAUAACUUAAUUUAUAAAAAAUGCACCACCGCAUCAUGAUCGAACUUUGAUUCGUCCACGCGUGGUUCCCAUGAACAACUACUACACUCGCCAAAUUAUUAGGUGAGCUACCUCUUCGUACAGAAAUGAGCUCACCAUGUACCCGCGCGUGAGUAUUAGGGAAAGAGGCAAAGAGUACCUGCGUCGGUGCCUGCACCUCUUCUCUUCGUGCUCAUAUUCCUUUUUUCGGGUGAUUCGUGCAUGUACUCCACCUACGUUCAUUAUAGUUGGUGAGUCCCUCCUACUAUACUUAACUCCAUUUUCUUUCAUGACACGUGGACCUGGAUGCUGGAUGUCCCAUGUGUCGGCAAAACUUAGAAGAACGCUUUCUGAUGACCGAGAAGGAGCAAGAAACCUCGUGGUGGAGCGUCUGGACUCUUUAAUAUUUUUAUUCGGUGAUAUAAAAUCUACCCAAUCUUCUCCACAAUAGACCAGAAGAGUCUGAAACACGACAUCCAGUGUAGUUACAUCAUACAUGUCAACCCACGCUAUCACCAUAUUUCUUGGCCUCCAUGCAACACCUAGCUCUAGUAAUCCACCAGCCCGUAUUGCUUCUCGCUCCUCGUCUCUCUCAAAGUGCUAUGGGCUGGCGAUUUUGCCGUCUCUUGAGGUCGGUUAACUCAUCACAUGUUAGCGACAUGCCAAGAGCAUUCUAAAAAAAUAUUGUACUCUAUUGUUAUGCCAAGAAGAGGAAACGCUUUGGCUGACGGACCAAACGAGACAUGCGUGCCGUGCCGUGAGUGGGUCCAGUUUCUCGUUUUGAACUUGUUUGGUAUAGUAGUAACACUUGGUUUUGACUAUUGAUAAGAUUUUAUAUAGGGCCUAAUGUAUUCUUCGAGGUUGCCUUUGACUAUUGAUAAGAUUUUAUAUAAUUUGAAAAUUAUAUCAUUCGAAGAUCCUUUCAUGUUCCGUUUCCAAAAAAAAGUUCCUUUUACGUACGAAUUUAAUGGUAUGCUUUGAGCAACUUGCAUGUCCUAUACUGCUCACGUUUGGAUACUCUAACUUAGCUAGAUGUUAUACUAACUCAUGACUAACCCUAAACUAACUCUAGCCAAAGAGGUGUUUGGAUGACAGGGUUAGAUUGACAAUAAAUGCACUUGAUGGAGAGAGAAAAGUGAUUUUUCAGUGGGCCCCACGAGAACCAGCUCCAAUUAGCACCACUUGGCUGGCGGGAUAUAGAGAGAGAAAAGUGAUUUUUCAGUGGGCCCAAUGAGAACUAUCUCCAAUUAGAACCUCUUGGGUGGGACAGUUUUUUGGUGGGUUUGGUGCAACUUGCUCCAAUUUAACCCUCAUGUUUGGAUACUUUAGGGCUAUUUGAGCCCCAACUAGCUCAACCUAACUCUAACCCAUGGAUCCAAACAGGGCCAAAGUUAGCCUCGGAAAACGCAUUAAGCCCUAUAUACAUGGACAAACAGAGUACAUGAUACUAGCAAAUGCUCACCAUUAGUAGUAGUUCAUUGGUUGGUUUUGAUUUUUGAUUUAGUUGCUGUGCUGCUACCAUCCAAUAUUCGCAUGUGGUUGUUUCUAGAAAAAAAGGAGGUAGUACUUACUGUGGGAAAGGUGAAGUACCAGUGGAUUCAAUGAAGAGAGAAAUGAUGGUUGCUUCGUCCGAGCAACUUACUGUGGCGAAGGUGGGGCUAUGUGAUUUGACUGCUCACUAGUCAUUAUUACUAUGGCACAACAACCGGGGUGAAUCUUCCCUGAAGUUGUGCACUCAAUAUUGCUGCAUGGUAGGUGGAGCCAGAUGAAGAAUGUCCCACAUGUCGGCAAAACGAAGUUGAAUUGUUUCUGGCAUUGCUAUCAAUCCUUCAAGAUUUCUUUAUAUGUACGCAUAAUUUUCCAGCAUAAUGAAAUUGUAUUGUGAUGCUAUGAAGGUUUCAAAUUUGGUUCCCGCAGGAAAAAAAGGUUUCAACUUAGGAUUCAUGUGUCCUCUUGCCUCAAGAUUGUCUCGUUACAACAUUCCAUCAAAUACAAAUGAAACAACCAUGGCUGCUAAUGCAUCUCAAUGGUUCGCAGAUCAGCGCCCAUAUUCACAUCACAACUGAAUACAAAGUUGUGAGAAGGUGUACAAAUAAAGAAAAAUAUAUAAUUGAUCGAUGCUGUUUGUAGGCAUGGCUCCAUUUCCUGGGCACAGUGUUCAUUGGUUGGCUGCUAGUUUCACCCAGCUCUAUAGCCAAAAAAGAGGUGUAUGGAGGACAUCACAAUCCGAUCAUUUUGUGCAGCUCCACUAAAAUCGAGCUGAUCAUCCAUGUUUACAAAGAUAUUCAGUCAGUGUGAUUACAAUAAUAGUGGAACUAGAUGAUGAAACAUAACACACACAAAUAGAAGCUGAUCACCUCUGCGACCUCUCUUUAGGACUAACUACUUGUUGGAGAAGAUUAGGCACGGAGUUGGAUGAGGAGGAUAGCAAAACCAAUCUCCCUUUCUGCAGUCCAAUAGAAAUGUAAAAAUGUUGCCCAUGUGACAUUUUGGCGGAACUGGACAAAACACUCUUAAGAAAAAAGUGAUUUGUGCAGUUCACCAAAAGGUCGCAAUAGCAAUGAGGUGAAAUGGAUAGCCCUGUUUGCAGAAGGAGGUAGAAAGGAAACAAUUACUAGCCAAUAACACGAGUUGAAGACACGCCGACAAAAAAGAAGCAUAUUCCAUGUAAUAAGGGAAAGAUAAAAGCAUGGUCAUUUAUCAAAAACGAUAUGAGUACAAGAUUACAAGAUGGAAAGUAUGCCGGCCAAGAUACGUUUUAAGCAAACAACUAAAGAAGAUCCACAUGCAGCAAUGUGGGAAGAUGGGCAGUGGAGCAAGGCCGGAGGAAGCUGUACCUGAGGGUCGUCGGGAUGUAACUAGGAGGGCGCCGGCGGCCGAGAUCUGCCCAUACUGCGGCAGCGAGCAAGUGGCGAAGGCCCUACAGCGCCGGAGCUUGGUCAGAGAGAACGGCGGGUACCGCAGAUCGGGACAUGCUGCCUCAACACCGUCGAACAGAGAAAUGAUGCUCAUCCUCCCUUUUCACCGGCAGACGGGAUGCAACCGGAUCAGUGACCAACAGUAAGAGAGAGAGAGGCCACCGCCGCCUUGUGUGAGAUAGUGUGACGAGAGACAAACCCCGGCAGGCAGGCUCCGUUGUAUAUAGUGGAGCAGAUUUUAUUUUUCCCGAUGACAAUCAUUUUAUAUUUUGUAUGUGCCAUUGAGGAAUAUAACUUUAUUUAAUACUAAUGCGUCAAGUCAAACUUUGUUCCGUCUACGUGUGAUACACGACCCUCCUUCGAGUAAACAACCGCUACACACGUCAAAUUAUCAUGUGAGUUGCCUUUUCAUACAGAAAUGAUCUCCACCGUGUACCCGCGCGGGUGUGGCCGGGAACGAGACAUGAGUACGUGCGUCGUGCGUGCACCUCUUCUUUAGUUGCAGGUACAUACGUGGGUGGGUGUGAGAGAGAUGGUUUGUGCUAAAUAGAGGCAAUGUGUCGAUGAUAUCUCGAACAAAAAAAUGUAACAUAUGUAAGGUGUGUGAAACAGAGUCAUGGAUAUAUCAUAUAUAGAGGGAGCGAUGCACGAGAAGAGAGUGGAGGGAUCAUUGGCGUGAGAUAUCGAUAGAAUCAAAAACAGUGAUGAAGUGUUGGGUGCGCAAUCGAUAAAGAGUGCCAUCGAAUUUGUGUUUGUCCACGUCAAUGAUACAGGGCGGCCGGCCUACUGGAAUAUGAGAGGGCAGAGGUGCAGUUUUUCUCUAUGGCAUGGAUACCUACCUACAACGUUCGACNNNNNNNNNNNNNNNNNNNNNNNNNNNNNNNNNNNNNNNNNNNNNNNNNNNNNNNNNNNNNNNNNNNNNNNNNNNNNNNNNNNNNNNNNNNNNNNNNNNNNNNNNNNNNNNNNNNNNNNNNNNNNNNNNNNNNNNNNNNNNNNNNNNNNNNNNNNNNNNNNNNNNNNNNNNNNNNNNNNNNNNNNNNNNNNNNNNNNNNNNNNNNNNNNNNNNNNNNNNNNNNNNNNNNNNNNNNNNNNNNNNNNNNNNNNNNNNNNNNNNNNNNNNNNNNNNNNNNNNNNNNNNNNNNNNNNNNNNNNNNNNNNNNNNNNNNNNNNNNNNNNNNNNNNNNNNNNNNNNNNNNNNNNNNNCUAGCUAUGUAUUGAGGGAGAUCGAUCGACAUCCAUGCAUAUGUGUAGCAGAGGAAUAAGGUUGUGAGAAAGAUAAAGGUAGAGUGUCGGAGGGUUGGUGGUGGAGUUGCUUCUCACAAAUGGUUGGAGAGGCCUGCUAAACAAAUGGAGGGUACAAGUGCAAAUCAAUAAGAGAGGGGAUGUCUGCCUGUCUAUGCACGUGCGUGUGAGAGACGGGCCGGGAGGUAUGCAGGGAUGAUGAGGGGUGAUGAUAUGGUUGUGGUAAGCAGACGUAACUACAUAGGAAGAUCAAUCGUCGUGUGUCCGAGAAAGGGGGAGACAUAACUAGUGAGGUAAGUUGAUCGAUGCGUGGGGAAAAAGAAUUAUAGUUGACCUAUCUAUAUGUAGGGAGAUCGGUACGUAUACAUGCAUGCAUGUGUUAGAAGCAAAUAAGGUUCGGAGAGACGGACAGGGGGAGAGGGGUGCGACUAGGAGGUGGUGCGAGAGGCCUACUAUGUCAAGGGGGGAGGAGUGUGAGAGUAUGAGAUCGAUGAAAAAAGGGGUGGGAGUGUGCACCUGCGUGGAACCGUAUUGGACAUAGGGGGGCAUGGACGGUGAGAAGAGAAGAGGGGAAGUGUGUUUUUGUGGUAGGCACACUUGGCUAGAGAGGUAUAUCAACCGGUGUGUACCGGAAAGAAGGAGCCGGGGGGCCUACACACACCAUGGGUGAACGACCUAAAGAGAAACGAAUGUGCGUGAUGGAGGGGACGCUGAGGGAGGGUGAGAGGGGGGCAGGCGUGUGCAUGCAUGAUAGGAAGUUAGCGCUAGCUAGCUAGAAAGAGAAGAGGAUUGUGAAGGUGUAAAAGACAAACAGAGAUCAUAAUUCAUUAUAAAAAAGUGGAUUAGGAUAUUUGAAGAAGAUAUCAUAGUGUUUUAAACCGACACAUGCAUGAAUGAAUAUAUAUGAUGGUGAUACACAUGGUGCGGUUAUGAACAUGUUAUACUACAUAUAAUAGAUAGAACAUUGAUUAUAAUUUGGGAUAACGUGUGGCUUUUGCAGCUCAGGGCUAAAUACUUGUCAUAAUGCAGGGGGCGGGGCACUAUACUUUGUGUGAUAAACACGGUGUACGUAUGGAACAUGGUCUAGAUUAUGAAUAUAUAGUUAGUACAACAAAUGUACUAUUAUUUGGAAUCAACAUCAAGUGUAUUCAAAAAUUGAAUUCGAGUUCAUAUAGUACACAUAGUUCAUAUCUAUCUCUAUAGUAAUCAUGUGGUGUGGUGUUAAGGUAAUACACGAAUGAUGGUUUAAGUUGGCAACAAUCAUGAUUGUAGAUUCUUAUUCAAGUAGGGAAACGAAUUCAAAUUUAGUUUGAAUUGCAGCAGUAGUAUAGACAUUUGGAAUGCACUAAAAUGUUGGUAUGAGUAGGUUACAUACAUUAUACAGCCAGCGAAAAAAAUUAAUUGGACAUAACAUGGAUUCAUAGCUUUGAAUAAAAUUUGUACGGUAAAACGGGACAAGACUCUCUCUUUGUGUGGUGUGAAUAGUUUUAUUUUUUCGUUUUUUCAUUGAGGGAAGUGCGAAUUGAUCUGGUACGUACAAGUACAAUAUUACAUGUUAGGCUUGUCCCUAAAAUUCAACCCGUGCCUUGUUAUAUCCCGAAAAUUUAGAUAUCGUGCUCCCAACAAUCGCGCCUUCACAACCCGCGCCUUGCUAUCCCAAAAUUACAACGCGCGUGAAAACUCCCUCCAGCUGCCAAAUCGCGACACGCGAAAUCUCCCUUCUAACCCUGAGCCGAAAGGGCCGCUAGUUCAAAUCGGUGGGGGUACUUUUGUAACACACCCUACAUUUUGGACAAGCGCGUCCCUAAGUCAUGGUUCCCCCCUCCCAUCGCCUCCUUUUCACCAUUCGAAAUCCCAUGCCGCCAUAACCUCUCUGCUCCAGCCGCGAAACCCCACCCUCCUCCGUCCGCCACCUCACCGCUGCCCAGCCGGAGCCUCUUCCCCGAUGAUGUUGUCCACCGCAACAACUCGAUGUCCCUCAUCCACCUCCCUGGAUGAGGAUCCAUCGUCGAUCUCGUUGUCCCACCGGUUCAGCCGCCCUGUCCUCCACCUCCAAGGAGCUGCUCAGACGAUCGCCUCGUCUAUUGCGGCUGCUCCAUCCCCACAACGCUGCCUUAACCUGCUCCAUUGGAACCGCAACAUCCUCACCGACCUCUUGGACGAAGCCAAGGCCUACUCGGCGCCACCAAAGAGGUUGUACACUCAUCGCGUCACACCUUCUCCUUAACUCGACCUCCUGGCGCCGACGGCGCUCCAUCCCGCACCCCCAUGGCGCGGCUACCUCGAAGCCGGCGCCACGGGCGACAUCUCCAUGGCGGCUUUCCCCCAGUGUGAGGCCCCUUCGGUAGUGGCGUCCAUACCAGCCGGAUCUGCUGCUGCUGCUCCGGCUCUCACUCGCUUGCGCUGCUGCUGCUGCUGCUGCUGCUCUGGCUAUCACUCGCUCGCUCGCGCUGUUGCUCUGCUCUCCCCCUCACUCGUGCGGCUGCUCUGCUCUUGCUCUCACUCGUGCUACUGAUGCUGGUACACGGGAUGCUGUAGCUACAUGAGUUGCUGCUCUAGCACUAGUUGUUGCUCCUCCAUGCACUGCUGCUCCGCCUGCUAUCUGCUACUGUGUUCCCCGUUGAUCGCCUGCUGAUUUAGAUCACUUUUUCUCUACUACUAGUGCUCGAGCGGCCUAAACUACAUGUGAAGUGCCUCUGUGCUACCAGUGCGUUCAGUUUUGAUAGUAACAUUCAGAUUCCACAAUAAAUUUCAGUUUUGACAGUUAAUUCUAGAGUCAACAGUUGUAGUCAGGUGUUUUUUGGUGAUGUAAAUUUUACAUCUAUCACUUUUUGGUAAUGUAUUUUACAUCAUCUAUUGGAGAUUCUAUUAGAAUCCCACUUGAGAUUAACGAUGUCUGUCUUGUAGUGCUUCAGCCUCGACGUCUUACGGCUCGCCAGAGCUUCUCCAACGACAGAACCAUCCAUCACAACAGAGCAGUACCCUGGAUGCCGUCUAUAGAUUCCUCAGAUCUUCCUCUACACCUCCGACAGCCACCUCUGCCUCAACUUCUUCGGUGACCAACCCAAUGAUGCCGAGGUCGACACGGCUAUGUCAAAGAGGUCGUGCACUUGUCGCAUCACUUAUUACUCUACAUUCAUGUUGAUCCAUUAGGGCUAUUUUGGUUUAAAGGAAAAACUGAAGAAAAAACAUAGCAAUAGGAAAUUUUCCUAUGGCACUCUACUAUUUAAUUAUUCAUGCAUUUUGUUGAAAGGAAUGGAGCAAAACAUCCACCUGGGCCUACUUUUCAAAAUCCUAUGCAUGAAAACAAGACCAAGUUCAUUGGUGGCAGAAUAACAUUCGAACUGUACACGCUUUCAUAUGGUUUAACUUUAAUUUGGCCAUGUUUCUUUGCAUUCCCCUGCUCUUCCAAUUCUUGUGAACCAAAUACCCAAAGUUGACCGAAAUCAUGUGUUUACAAAUGCUCUAUUUCCCACGUGCAUUACUAUCCUAUUCUGGUGUUUUUCCUAUCCCUAUGUUUUUAGAAUCCUGCAAGCCAAAGGAGCCUUACAAAAUUACUUCAGUUACAGGUAGGUGUCGAAUAAAACUUUGUGUGAUUUGUCUGCUCCUGCCGCGACAUCGUCCACCUCACUUGAGCUGUUUCAUCGGCAGAAGCAUCCACCAAACUAGACAUCACGACUCCUGACCGUCUUUCGCCGCCUCAGAUCUUCUUCAUUGCCGCUGGUGAGCACUACAAAAAAAGACACAUCCGUGACAUUUUGGGCCGAACGAAUUUUUUUUUGUCAUACAUAUGACACUUCUAUGGUGAUAAUUGUGACAAAACCAGGUAUCAUCAUAGAUGUGGUGGGCUCCUACUUCUAUGACAAAAAAUCAUGACAGAAAAUGGGCUUUUCGUCCUGGGCGGGCCGGAGACGCAGCUGCAUGACAUUCUUUGGGCCGUCCAUGACGGAAAAAACCGUGGUAGAAGCGAGGGCGAGGAAAAUUUCGGGGAGUUCCCGGUUACGGUGGGUGGUCGGGGGCCGAGCGAUGCACGUUUCUCCCAUACACGUACGCGCUUGUGUGCGAGGUGUUGGCUCUAACUGAACCCGAGCGAGGCGUUGGGCUCUAACUGAACCCUAGCGAUUGCACUGCAGGCUACGCGUUACUGAACCCGAGCGAUCGAUUGAUGGCUGUUAACUGAACCCGAUCGAGCGAUUCCCGUGCUACUGCUGCUAACUGAAGCCGAUCGAUGCUGCCUCUCUAGAUGAACAGUGAGUGUNNNNNNNNNNNNNNNNNNNNNNNNNNNNNNNNNNNNNNNNNNNNNNNNNNNNNNNNNNNNNNNNNNNNNNNNNNNNNNNNNNNNNNNNNNNNNNNNNNNNNNNNNNNNNNNNNNNNNNNNNNNNNNNNNNNNNNNNNNNNNNNNNNNNNNNNNNNNNNNNNNNNNNNNNNNNNNNNNNNNNNNNNNNNNNNNNNNNNNNNNNNNNNNNNNNNNNNNNNNNNNNNNNNNNNNNNNNNNNNNNNNNNNNNNNNNNNNNNNNNNNNNNNNNNNNNNNNNNNNNNNNNNNNNNNNNNNNNNNNNNNNNNNNNNNNNNNNNNNNNNNNNNNNNNNNNNNNNNNNNNNNNNNNNNNNNNNNNNNNNNNNNNNNNNNNNNNNNNNNNNNNNNNNNNNNNNNNNNNNNNNNNNNNNNNNNNNNNNNNNNNNNNNNNNNNNNNNGAUGAACAGGACCCCGUGGAGGGAUGGAUGAACAGGACGACCCUGUGGAGGGCUGGAUGAACAGUAGAUGGUGGAGGGGUGGAUGAACAGUAGCCCGUGGAGGGGUGGUUGAACAGGAGCCCGUGGAGAGGGGUGGUUGAACAAUAGCCGGUGGAGUAGCGCGCGGUGGAGGCUGGAUGAACAGGAGCCCGUGGAUGAAUAGUCGCAGGUGGAGGCUAGAGGAGGUCGACGGUGGAUGAACAGUAGGCCGUGGAGGCUGGAGGAGGUCGACGGUGGAGAUGAACAGUAUCCCGUGGAGUCCCGUUUUGCGGUACCCCACACCCCUCGCGAUGAACAGGACCCCCGUUUUGACCGUAGCGCUCCAACACAAGUCCGUUUCGUCCGUUUUGCGGUACGCCACACCCCUCAUGAUCAACAAGACCCCCGUUUUGACCAUAGGAGGUCUGUUUCGUCCGUUUUGCGGUACGCCACACCCCUCCCGAUCAACAGGACCCCUUUUUGGACCGUAGAGGUCCGUUUCCUCCGUUUUGCGAUACGCCAGACCCCUCCCGAUGAACAGGAUCCCAUUUCGAACGUGGCUGGUCGAACACAAGGCCGUUUCCUCCAUUCUGCGAUACGCCAGGCCUCGUUUCUAUCUCCUGUUCCGUCCAAGCCCUCCCAAUGAACAUGACCACGCAUUCCGUUCCGACCCAGCCGGUUGGCUCCCCAUGAACACGACGACGAUGCUGUUUCUCCGUUCCGACCCAGCCAUGUACACGAGCCCUAGCCGUACGUAUGCGCGAGUAGGCAUUCGAGACCCCGCCCGUAUGUACACAUACGUGGCCAUAUUUUCUUUCUUGCGCACUGGCCGCUGUACGUACAUGUACAUGCUACGUGCGCGCCUCUACUACGACACGUGCGCGCCUCUACAUCGACUAGUAUAUAUGUAUGUACAUGUUCGCGACUAGAAUGACAAUGCUACGUACGCUUUGACCAACUGGGUCCCGACUGUCAGGCACUUCCUUGCAUGCAAAGAUGUAGCUGGUGGGUCCCAGCAAUCAGGGGGGCAAAUCGUUUUUUUUGCCCAGACGCACUUCCUUGCUUGCGAAGGUGUAGCUGGUGGGUCCCAGCAGUCAAGGGGCGAAUUGUUUUGUUUUUUUGCCCGAACGCACUUCCUUGCGUGCGAAGGUGUAGCUGGUGGGUCCCAGCAGUCAGGGGGGAAACGUUUUUUCGCGAAAUACGAUGGCCCAUCCAGUGGGUCCCCACUGUCAGGUGGAGGAAUAAUUAUUUUGCACGUAAUAAGGAGGCACUUCCUUGCUGCGGCCAUGGAUCCAGCUGUCAGCCUCUCCAUUUACAGUCCAUGUCCAAUGGAAGCCGUUCCUUGACCAUGUUGACCACGUCGCGCCGAGAGCACCAGGGCGAUGGACAACGGCGAGGCCUAGGAAGGGGACGACGCGAAGCCGGGGAAGACACGGCAGUGGAUGCCCACGCGUAGAGGAGUACGAGGGUUCACUGGUUCGCUGUGGUCUGAGGUUGCCGUCGCCGCAAAAUAAUAGGGGGUGCGGGUGAGUAGAGGGAUGGCCUGGCCAGCGAUCGGAGUAGUAGGUGGCGGUGAGGCCUUCGCCGCAUCGCAGCCGGCCACGGGAGGCAGGAGCAAGAGGCACAACUGGCGCUGGUUUGGGCGGCUAGAGCAAGAAGACCAGAGGUUGAAGAAGCAUUACGGCCAUUGGAUGGACAUCGUACGGUCAUUGGAGCUAGAAUCAUGCAUAUUGACUAAGUUGACAAAGCCCUCCGUCCCCGUCAACUUAGUAGGCCCACAAGUCAGCCUGCCACUAUACUGGGUCCCAGCUAACAGGGGGAGUAUUCAUCUUUUUGUGCGUAAUAAGGAGGCACUUCCUUGCGUGCAAAGAUAUAGCUGGUGGGUCCGAGCUAUCAGCAGCGACAACGUUUUUUCCGCGAAAUACGGAGGCCCUUCCGGUGGAUCCUUGAUGUCAGGUGGAGGAAUCAUUAUUUUGCGCGUAAUAAGGAGGCAUUUCCUUGCGUGCGGCCGCGGACCUAGCUAUCGGCCUCUCCACGUACAGUCCACUUCAGAUGCAUGUCGGUCAUUGACCACGUUGACCAGGCCGUGCCGAGAGCACCAGGGCGGUGGACGACGGCGAGGCCUAGGAAGGGAACGACACGGAGGCAGGGAAGACUUGGCAGUUGUUUCCCACGCACAGGGGAGUACGACUGUACGAGGGUUUACUGGUUAGUCUGCCAUCGCCGGAGAAUAACAACAGGUAUGGGUGAGUAGAGGGAUGGCCAGGCCAGGAUGGGAGUACGGUGGGGCGGUGAGGCCCGCGUGGCAGCACAGCCGGCCGCGGGGAGGAGGGAGCACGCAGUCUCGCCGGCGCUUGUUUGAGCGGCUGGAGCAGGAAGAGCAGAGAUUGAAGAAGCACGACGGCCGUUUGAUGGACAUCCAACGGUCACUGCUUGUGCGUCAACCUUUUUUAGGAAAGCCUCAAAUAUGUGGAAAAUAGCAUACAACCCAUCUGCCAUUAUUUCUAAUAAUUUAUAGCCCAUUUGCUAAUUCUUAAGGUCUUUUUUGGAGCCCAUAUUGUGGCCACGGUUAAAAAAUUAUACAAAAUUUUGCAUAUUUCGGUGCGGUCCGAACUGUUUUUAAUCCCGAAAUUUCGACUCACAUUCAAACUGACUUUAAAAAUAAAUGUAAAAUCAAUAUAAAAUCCAACAAAUUCUCCAUGCAUAAAAAUUAAUGUAAUUUAAAAUCUCGAAAUGAAAAAAAGAUAUUUGAAACUAAUUGCCGGUUUGAUGUGUUUUAAAAAUGUACAGCCCAUUUCUCAUUACUGAUGGGCCAUUUUCUCGGCCAGCCAAAUGAAAGCUCUCCUCGUCUUGAAAGAUUUGCAGCCCAACAGGCCUGACAAAGCGACUUACUUGGCAAAUCACCAAAAAACUGGGCUGUGGCCAUGGACCCAGCUGUCAGCCUCUCCAAGUACAGUACUCUUCCGAUGGAAGUCGUUCCUUGACCACGUUGACCAUGCCGCACGGAGAGGACCACGGCAGUGGACGACGGCGAGGCCUAGGAAGGGGACGACGCGGAGCCGGGGAAGACACGACAGUGGAAGCGUGGGUGAGUGGAGGGAUGGCCUGGCCAGCGGCGGGAGUAGUAGGGGGCGGUGAGGCCUCCGCGGCAUCAUAGCCGGCCACGGGAGGCAGGAGUAGGCGUCACGAUCGGCGCUGCUUUGUGCGGCUGGAGCAAGAAGACCAGAGGUUGAAGAAGCACG